AAAAAACAUUCAUGAAUCUCCCAAGGAUAAUCUAUUAAAAAGUUACUGAAAAGAAGAAAAUUUUGUUGAGUUUCCUAGUUCCAAUUAUGUUAGAAGUGAUUAUCACGUAACUCAUUUCCUAUUUCAUCCCUCACCACAUCUCCAACAUUAUAGUAUGAAAACUUGCAGUAUUACAGCCAAUUAAUGAAUUAUAUGAAUAGCAUAUUGUGGGGGACAAAAAAAGCCCCCACACUCAAAACUUGUUGCUGUUAAUCAGAGUUUGUCUCUAAUCUGCCUGUCCCAUGUGGCUCAGAGUGUCCUUCGUUCCUUCCUCCUACCAUCGAAUCACGUGAUUGCAUUCAUCAUCUUCGUCCUUCCAAUUUCCCACUUCUUUUUAUCUUCUCUCAUCAAAACAUUCUUUCAUCUCUUUCUUUUUUUUCAAUUUUUAAACUUUUUUUUAACACUUGAAAAAUAAAUACUUUGCCCAUUGGGGGUAGGUAAUGAUAUAGUUGGAUGAAACCAUAGCAUACAUAGUAGACUCCUUAAAACUAGAUUAGAAACAUAAAACAACAGAAUAAAUAACACCACUCAUAACUAUCAUUCUCAACACACACAGAUCACACGUUACUUAACACUUUCAUUGAUCCUAGCAGCCGCCGCCACCGAAGCUGCUACGCCGCCAGGAGUGGCAGAGGCAUCCGGGUUGUUUCUCACCUCAGCACUCGCCACCCUCUCCGCAUCUUCCAGUGUCACCGCCUUGUCCGCGGCCAACUUCGCUGUGGCUCCGCUCAAAACGUCCCCCAACUUCAUCUUAUCCUCAUCGCGGGUGCAGUCAGCAUUAUAAGCAGCCGCCGAUUGAGCCACAGCCGCCAGCCCACCAGGCGACGUUUCAUUGUUUCCCGUUGCCCUCACCUCCGCCGCCUGAAUCGCGGAAGCGUCACUCUGAUCCACCGCUUUGUGGCCCACGGUCUGGGCCGUGGCCUCCAACGCCUCCCCUAUGGUUAUUGCACCCUCCCAAACCGCACUGCCUCGUCCUGUUUGAACCGGGGUCGGUUCAGAAUACUGCUGCACAACCUUCAAUCACAGAACACAUACACAGCUCGCAUAAAUCUUCUUCUUAUUUCUUAAAAGAGUCAGCAUUUUGGAAAAUAAUGACGUUGAUGAAAAAUAAAAACAGAACCUUGCCGCCGACAGCCUCGGUGAUUAUGCGUCUUCCAGGGACUCGAGUUUCCGAUACUAUGACGCCUCGGUCGCCGGCAACGUCGUUGACGUCCAGGUGACCAACGAGGCCAGCCUGUUCGUUCUGAGUGGCGGCGGAUUGCAUGAUGGAAGCUGCUCCGCCGAGUUGGGUUUGUCCCAACACUAGAGUUUCUGCGCUUUGCAUCAUGGCAGCAUCUUCCGGUGCAAUGGGCUUAUUUGCAAGGUCGCCGGAGACAUCGAAAACGUCGCCGUAUUUGAUGGGGUCUUGGCCUGGUUGUGGACGCCUUGGCUGGUCCUGACUCAUCUUCUCCGUUUGAUAUAUUCUUCGAGAAUCAAGUUGAUUGUGUUGAAAUGGUUUUGUAAUGAAAUUGGUAUAAAUAAGUUGCAAUGGAGGUGGAGAAGGAGAAUACGUGGCCAAACGUUACACUUGGCAGCAAGUUCAGUAGUAGCAUGGGAACGUGUCAGCCUCAGCCUCAUUUCUCACUACCAUCUACGUACCUUCUUUUUCCAUUUGCUUCCACCAAGCUUUUUUCUUUACAACGUAAUUAUAUUUUUUAAUCCUGUGUCACUUUUCUUCCUCUUAAAUUAAACAUUAAAAUGGCGGUGGACGGUGCCAUGUAAUGCCGUUUAGGUGUUCCAGAUAUUUCCGCACUUCCUUUGGAGGUGGAAGAUGGACAAACUAUGCGUCUUUUGACAGAAACUAAAUAAACCAAUACAGAGUCAUCGAAUGAUAUGAUAUUUUCAAAUCAAAAUAUGUAUUUUAGUUCAAUGGAUAGCUAUGAUUAAUUCAAUUUUUCUUACCAUUCUCAUACUUUGUUUCCUACCACAACAUAGAAGGUGGAAAAAAUAAGUUCUUAUAAGAAUUUUCCUCCAAUGUUGUCAAACAUGCAUGUUUGUUUACUUAGUAGAGUAUAUCUAUAUCAGUAGCUUUUUAUUGUAAAUUUAUCACCUAUCACCGUCGUUUUUAAAUCAUCUAUAUGUUUCUUUGGUAAAUUUUGUAAACAAUCAAAAGAGUAGCAAAAGCACAUUUUUUUCUAUGCAAAUCUUACAUUAAGAACGUUUAAUUUCAGUUUGACCCUUUUCCAUCUCUUCUUCUUUCAAUUCAUUGUUCUAUAUUGUUCCUUUAACUUUAGUAGUAGCCUCUGGAGUGACUUGUAAAAUGUCCAACAUUGAGUAGGCUUUUAAUUUGAGAUUAUAAAAAUGCAUCAUAAUUUAUUGAAAAAAAAUUAUUGUUUUAGCUCUCUUAAAGCACUGGACCUUUUUUCUAUUAGCAUCGGUCCAAUUAGUUCUGGGCUUUUGCUUUUUUGGUCAUUGUCAGUAUCGAAGGACCCAAUACAAUAUUUAAAGAUAUCCCAGACAUUAUGAUAUAAGAGUUUCUAAAAGCAUCAUUGUCUUUUCAUCAAGUCUCUCUUUCGCUAUUGACGACAUGAGCUUGGUUAAUAAAUUCCCCCUCUUUAAAAAUACAAGAGUAUUAAAAGAGUUGGAAUAUUUUUAUCAUGACAUUGUUUUUUGAAGAAAAAUGAUGAACUAUGGUAGUAUAAAGAAUGUUUUUUUUAAAAAAAAAACUAAAAUACCUUGUAUAGAGUUUAAACACAAUCAUUAAUCAUUCAAUUGAGAAACCAAUUAAUAUAAGCGAUUGAAACUGACUGUUUUCUCAAUUUUCUAAAAUAGAAAUAUUUUAAAGAGAAAUAAACUAAAACUUGCAAAGUAUUAAAUAAUUUGAAGUUAAACAAAUAAUUAUGAAAUAAAAGGAAUAAUUAUGAAAAAAGAGGGAAGUGCAUAUUAAUGUUCAAAAGUUAGGUCACGUGAGAUUUAAUUCCUGCGUUUAAGAAAGGUAUAUGAUCUUUUGAUGUUUAUAAAACGUACAGAAAACUAUUCCGUUCUAUUAAAUAUUACAGUCUGUUUAGAUUAAUACCACAAUACUUCUGAAAAAAAAAAAUGAGAAAACAAAACAGAUUGUUUUACAAACUAAAAUAUAGUUUAUACACAAAUUAAAACUAAAUAUUUUAAAAAACAUAUGAUCAGACUUUCACAAAUGCAUAAACUAAACAAUGUGAUCUCACCUUAAUCACUCUUUUUCAUGUAAAGUUGACUGAAAGGAGUGAAGAGGAGGAAUUGGGUUUAAAAUCUAAAUACAAAGUGGAUUUUUUUUUUAACAUUUAUGAAGCAGUUGUUAAAUACUUGCUAUAUAUAUAUAUAUAUAUAUAUAUAUAUAUAUAUAUAUAUAUAUAUAUAUAUAUAUAUAUAUAUAUAUAUAUAUAUAUAUAUAUAUAUAUUGUACACACAAGAAACAGUAUUAGCAUUACCAGCAUCUAUAGAGUAUAAUCAUAUUUUAAAAGAUUCCUUUCCAAUAUAAAUGAGGCCGAAAUGCAGAAAAUGAAUGAAAGGGAUUUAUGUCAUGUGGCGUAAGGGAGUCAUACAUAAGGAGUACUGCAGCGUGAAAUACUUAAGUUGCGUAUUAGUGCAUAUAAAGCAGUGAUCAGACACACUAUAAUGAGAUUAAUAGGAAAGUGCGACCCGUAAUUAAAGCUCGUGAUUCUAAUGUACUUUCAACAUUACAAAGUGGGCACACUUUAAUACUUUAGCAGAAGAGAUGAGAUUCAAAGGCAGGUAUACAAAGAAUUGGCAUAUUUUGUUCAAAUGCCAACAAAACAUUCAAGAGAUUUGAAAAGAUGGCCUUUCUUAUCUCACAUUAUGUAAACUGAACAGACUAAUUCAUCCAUAUGCAAUGUAUCAUUAACGUAUAUGAAGCCAACCCCACCGCAUGCAGAAAAUUGCAGCUAUAUAUCCUCAUAACCCCUGUACUUUACAAAUCUGCACCUAUUCCCAAAGAACAUGUCUCUAAUGCCACCGCUGGAAUUUAAAUAAAACAUCACACGGGUAUAACCAAAAGCAAGGUUAUCCUUUCAGAUUUACAUAGGACACGUCAAAAAAAGACAAACAAAUUUUCAGAUUUACAUAGGACACGUCAAAAAAAGACAAACAAAUUAAAAGACACUGUUGUCAGCCCAACACGAUACCAAUCAUAGGCACAACAUCUUGAGAAUUAGAUUUCAUUCAUUUCCACUACAUAUUGAGAAUAUUUUAGUUCAUGAAGUGGAAAACAAAAGUUGUCAUUAGAAGAAUAUUUCGGAAAAGAUUCCAGGCCACACACUUACAACAUCAAUAAGAUAGUCACUAAACAAAUACCUCUACCCGAGUCUUUCAUCAAAUAAAACCACUAUACAUUACAAUGAGAUCCCUUCCAUGAGAAAAAGAAAAGCCCUGCCAAACAUCCUACAAUCCCAUGACGGCAAAAUAGGAAACUUCAGAGUUGCAGGCAUUUUAUCAUGUGGCUUGAAUGCAAUAGAAAGAAGAUAAAGCGCGUAUCACCCCCAUCAAGCAACCUCAUUAAACGCCUUCCAGUCCAAAGGACCGAAAUAAAAAUAAACUAACAGUGGAAAUCAUACAAAUAGCAAGUAAAAGUUAAAAAAUUAUUACAUUAUUUCCAACUGCUCAGUUCUCUUGAUAACCAAAUUACCAAACAAGACCUUCCACCAUUGUCAAUAAACCCAGUUCCAAUGAUUCUAGGACUUCCUCUCAAACCAUCUUCUCUUUGGCAUUCUGUAAAUUUCUGCUAGCCUCUUCCCUUCCGGAUUCUCUCAUCUCUCAUUUUUUUCUUAUUUAAAAUAUCCAUGAACUCUCUCUUCCUCGUACUUAAAAAUCACCCUUUAUUUCACUCAACCAUUUGUCACAUCAACCACGUUUUUCUUUUACACACCCCCCACAUAAAAAAUCUCAAUGUGCAGAAUCAAGAUCCCUUUCCGUAUGUUCAAAUACUUUUGAAGUCAAUAAACUAUUUAACAUGCAAUUAGUUGAACAACCAAAUUUGCGAUUGAGAAAACAUAAUAAUCUCCUAUCGUCUUUUUUCUGCUUCCCCCUCCCUUUCAAACAUUAAUUUUCAAAGUUAUGCUAAAACUGUGUAAAAGUUAACUUUAUUUCCUAAAAAGUUUGGGUUGAAAAUAAUCCAAUCCCUUAAUAAAAAAAAGUAACACCAAAAAUAUCCUUUGUGCAUAAGCCACGUCAUUAAGAGACUAAAUUGAUGUCUAUUUUUCUCUUAUUAUGAGAACUAAUGUCACUCUCCAUCUUUCACUCAUCAUUCAAGAUCCAAACUCAUCAAGACAACCGUAUUCCUCCCUAAAAUUUUUCCCACCUCAAGCAAAAAAAUUGAUAUACAACUGCCACAUACAAAGUUAACCAAUUUCAUGACCAGAAAUAUCUGCAUGAUGUCUACCGAGAAAAUAAAAGAGCACAAGAACACGGUUACACCUAUUUACGAAAAUUGCCAUUGCCAUGAAUAAACCAUUCUCCAGAUAGAACAUUUUUGUUCCUGAUUCAACAAUAGCAACAAUAAAAUUCACAGAGAAACUAGGUCCAACAACAACCUGAAAUCUAACCAACAUACUAAUAUGGCCAUGUUUGGAGGGCAACAAGAAGUUAACAAAAGAAUCAUUCAUUACCUCACUCACUCACUCAUUCAUUACUGUACAAGCACAAGUCUACCACGACCCAUACCUCUAUCACCAUCCCCAUCUUCCUCUCCGUGCCCCUUCGGCACCGUCACGAUGAGCUCACCGUCGACGAACACCGCGCUCGCGAGCUCCGGCCGCGUCGAUUCCGGUAACCGGAACCUCCACAUAUCGAGUUCGAGCUGGUCGAGCGAGAGCUCCACCGAGCCUCCGUCCCUCACCACGAUUUUCGUCACGCCAGGGUGGAUUUCCACCGUGUGCGCCCUCACGUCGACGAUACCGUCGGUCUCCGCCACGAAGCGGAAGCAGUCAGGGUCCUCCUCCACCACCACGUCGGCGUCGGAGCGGAACGGGAGCUCCAGGACGCAGCUGAAGACGUGCGGGAGUCUCCGGAGCUUCUUGCCGGCGAUCCCCAACAGCGCCUGCGCCUCUGACAUGGGGUUCCCUCCGUCUACGCCGAACUGGAUUGAGAUGUUGCGUUUUCGCGGAACAGGAUGAACCUUCAUGAUGCUGUUUUUGCUACCGUGUAACGCCGCAGAGGAUUGCGCCACCAAAAUUAAUACCGCGAUGAUGAAGAAGACGAUCUGAGACACCUUUUGUAUCAUAAAGGAACGGUUGUUCUUGUCCAGCUUCCUUCUUCCCCUUCCUUUUUUGGGCGAAAACCCUAACCCUAAUUUCAAAUUGCACAGAUAUAUUUCCCUUUUGUGUAGAAAAUGUGAGGAGAAAGGGAUGAUGGAAAGAAUUGAUAAAAUCAGAAGGGAAGAACAGAUACGAAAUAAGUAUGUGCGGAGAGAGAUAAAGAAGAGGAUGAUUCGGACUGUGUUGCCCUUCUCCUUCUUUUUAUUUACUAUAUUUGUCUCUCCUCAAUUAUUAACCAUUAUUAACAUUUUAAAGCCACUAAGAAACAAAACCACUUGUCAAAAACAAAAACUAACUAUUAACAGCACUGAAUAUUCUAGACCUUCGCACCAUCACACAAUACACCCACGGCUACAAAAUCUCAAAUUUUUCUUUUAUUAUCACUUAAUCAAAAUUAUACAUACAGUUUAAUGAUUAAUUAUCAGAUCAAUUUUUGGAAUCAGAUAUUAUAUAUUAAUAUUAAAAAGAAAUAUCAUGAUUAAUAUUUAUUAACAGAUCAUUCACGCCAAAUUAGUUAUUCAAAAUAUAGUUAUAAUAUCAAAAUAUUUAUAAAGAGUCUAUAUAAUUAAGAAAAUAUUAUAUUAAUUACAAAACAGAUAUAUUCACUCAUUCAGCAACUAUAAAACUUUGAAUUAUGUAUUUUGGUAGAAAAUUUGUAUAUCUAAACUUUCACACUCAAAGUUACUCUGUUAAUAUUUUUAGUUAAAAUAAAGUUUUUAAGGUAGGAUCUCCUGUAUUUCUUAUUACAUAUUUCACGUUGUUUACUUGAGAUUAAAUUAUUAUUAGAAUGAUAGAAUAACUUUAUAUUAUUGAAUUUGUAUAUUAAUAUAUACAUUAAAAAAACACCAUUAUAUAAUCUUUCUUCAAUAUUUCUGAAAUUAUGUGAAACAUAUAUAAUGUUCAUAUUCAUUAAUAAGUUUAUCAUUAUCAUUUCAUUCAUGAUUAUUUGUAUGUAUAUUUAUCCAUAAAUCUAUCAAUCAUUUUUAAAUAAACAUCAUAAACCAAUUAUCAUUUUUAACAUUUACAAUAUCAUACAUUAAACUUAUCAUAAAAGAAGAUAUAAGAAAAUAGAAUAAGACUCUACAAUUUUACUUAAUAAAAAUAAUUACUCACUCAAUAAAGCUUAAAAGCUUACUUGCCUAAAAACUAAAUAACUUACCACACAAAAUAAUCACUAAAACUUACAAACUUAAAAUUUUCUAUAAGUUAUCGAACAAAACUUAUCUUAUCCGACUUAAAAUUUUCUAGAACCAAUACAUAUACAUAUAUGACAUUAUUAAUGAAGUGAAAUAAUAUAAAUGUGUUGCUUUAAUUAUAUGAAUUUAUUAUGUUUUAUAAGAAGAUAAAGAAUUUAUUAUUGUUAUAAAUGAAAAAAAGUAUUAUAUAUAUAUUAUUCCGCUGUUUUCAAUAUUUAUUGUGAAUUAAAUGAACAGGUGAUAAAACCUAUUGAUUUUAACAAGUGGUGGUUAAAAUAUAUUUAAUCCAACUAGUUCAUUAAUUAAAGAUAAAGCGCUUUCAACUCCUGCCAUUACUUGAAACCCGAAAGGUAUAAAAUUUGUGAUUUUUUUUAAGACAUGACCUAAAUCAAGUAUCAAACCUAAUGCAUAUUGGACUGCUUCAAAAUCAAACCCAUUAUUGUAAUUUCAUUAAACUGUCUCUUGAUUUCACUUUUUGAAUGUUUCCAUCCAGUAAAAUUCCCUCUUCCGCCACUACUUAAUUAAUGUAGGAAGUGAUUAUCAAAGAAAGAAAAAAGAAAAGUAUGCUAACAUCAAAGUCAUCUAAUUAUCUCAAUAUAGACAAAUUUAAUUGCAUUAAUAAACAGAUUAAGUAAUCAUAAUUAUUGCUUUAAAUGCAUAUUCAUUACAAUAACUAUAACUAUCAUAGUGCAUAUUUUAUGAAUUUAAAACGAAAAAUAAAAGACUUCCUAAAAAUUCAACAAAAAAAAAACUAUAUAAUGCUAUCAUAUGAUAUAGUCCUUUUUAUAAUAAUAUUAUAAUAGAUUACUUAUUCAUUCCAGUUCUCGCUUUCUCUCCCUCUUUUUAUCUUCUCUCGUUUCUUAAGCUAUGAUGAUCAUUCAUUUUUCAAUCAUUUUCGGUACACAAAAUAUGUUAUUAUUAAAUUCUGUUCCUUCACUUUUAGAAAAUUAGAAGAUAGAAAAGUGCAUACGUUUUGUUGGUUGUGUCAUAUUGGUUGCCGCGAACCUUCCUACAAAGGAAUACACGAAAAUAAGUUUUUUUUUUCCUUAUUCUUUGUAUAUUUUAUUUAAUUUAGUUCUAUAAUUAGUAAAUGGUUUGAUUAAGUUUCUUCGUAACAUAACAAUGUAAAAUCUAUCUAACCAAUUAGCUGUCGAAAAAUAAAUAUUAGCAAUUUUAAUUUACAUUUUAUGAACCUUAUAACAAUACAAUAACUAUUUAUAAACUAACACAUUGAUUUUAACAAGUGAAAACAUUAUUUGAUUAUACUUUUAAUAUAAGUUCGGAAAGUUAUCGUUCUCGUAUUUCUUUUACAUGUUCAUUCAUUAAAAUUAAUAUCCAUCUUCAAUUAUUUAUUCUCUCCUCUUUCCAUGCUUUUUAAUCUUUAAAUCAAACAGAGUCUAAUCUUUUGUGUUUCUAAAUUCCUGAUUAAAUUUCAAAAUGAUUGAAGAUUUUGCCAAAUAAAAAACAAAAGAAGUGAAUAUUUAGAAAAUAUUUACUUCAAAUUAUUUGAACGAGAUUCGGUAACAGCUGAAUUAAACGUAUAUAGUGCUUAAAAUCUCAACCUUUAAAAAGCUAAGAAAAUAUAAAUUAAAAAUUGAGCCAUUAAAUUAUUAUUACUAUGGACAGAAAACAUCAUUGUAACAGUGAGUUUUGAGGGAACAUCACAUGAAUUUUAGUUGUUUACAAAGAGUACUGUGAUUUACUUUUGUGAUAGUUUAGAAAAAAGAUAAAGCUGACAAUAAUGAUUUUUUAAAAAAGUCAUGAUUUAAAAUUUAAAUGGUUCUCAAAUUUUUAUUGGUUAUAAAUUUUACUAUAAAUUAACUUUAUAUAUAUAUAUAUAUAUAUAUAUAUAUAUAUAUAUAUAUAUGUGUGUGUGUCUAUAUAUAAAUUUAUUUUAUAAUAUAAAAUGACCGUUAAAAACUUUGACAAUUAUUUUUUAAGUUUUUGCUUCUUUUACUUUCGAAUACUACUAAUGUGUUACAAACUAAAAUAAUUACUUUUUCUAAAAUACAAUAUCUUUUAAUAUUUUUAUUUUGCAAUUUACUAAUAAGAUGAAAAAAAGUAUAUAUUUAUUAGGUAAGAAGAAAGAACGAGUUUUAUUUAUUCAUAAUUAUUUUUCUUUUUUUUUUAUUGUAUUGAUAUAUUAUAAUGUUUGUAUAACGUAUAUGGACCUUUUCAAGAUGAUAGGAACAAUUAUGCAGCAAUAAAAAGUCAAGGAUAAUCAUAUUGUUUUAAAUAAAAUAGAGUCUGUGACUAUGACUGGAUUUCAAUUGGUAUGGAGUACAUUUUCUAAGAUAAUUUAGUAUAUUAAUAUAUUUAAAUUGAUUUUAUUAUUUUACAUAAAAAAAUAAAAUAAAAAAGUGAAAACAAAUAUUAUGAUUAAAAAAAUAAUGUAUAAUAUUCUUAAUUAAAAUGUUUGAAUUAAUUUUGUAACUACUAGUUGAAUAAACGAUUUUUUCUAUAUUUAAAUAAGAUAAGAUUAGAUCAGUAAAGAUAAUUAUAAACCAAGACGAGACUAAAUACAUCUCAAUGAACAAAUAUAUUUAUAGAAUACUUAAUUAAUUCUGGGGUCUUUAUUAAAUUUUUUUUAGCAUUUAUAAUUAAAUUAUUAUUAUUAUUAUUUUUUAUUGAGAAUUUAAAAUUGUUUUAAUUUUUAAUUAAGUACAUGUGGUGUAUUGCUUUUUAAUUGAAUGAGAUGUAAUUAUUAUUUUGUUUAGUCAUCUAUUCAUGUGUUAAAAAAUAUAGGAUUAUCUGAUCAAUAUACAAAUAAUAUUGUUGUUAACGUAAAACUAUAAGUAACUUUUUUAGACUCAAUAUCACUUUAAUCUCAUGACUCUCGAAGUUUUACUUAAUUUUUUAUUUUGCUAUUUGUCUUAUAUUUUUUAGUGAUAAUAUUAAUUCUCGUCAUUAUCUUGUCAUAUUUUAUUAACGUAAUAACAAAGUAAUUUAUCCAUUUACAUAAUAACAAAGUAACAUUGUAUUACUUUCGUAGAAAAUACUUAACUUCGCCUAACAGUGUAUCACUCAAAUAAAUAUUUAUACAUGUUUAAAUAAAACACAGUGAUCAAAAGUUAAUUUCUCAAUAAUUAAAUUCAAAUUAACGGUGCAAUUAGUGCCAUCAAAAUGGGCUGAAACCUGUGAGUCAAUCAGGUUCACCACGGGUUUGAGCUUAAUUGGGUUGGAAAAAAUGCGAAAAUUUUAAGGGUGUUGCUCCCUCCACCCCCCAAGUGGAACCUGUACAUCCCCAUUAUUUUAAUUUAUUUUAAAAAUAUUAUACACUUCUCCACUAUUUUUUUUAUUCCAAAAAUACCCUACACCUUUCCUAUCAUUGACAAUCUUUCUCUUUCUCUUUCUCUCUACAUUAAUGGAGCAUUUACAUUUACAUGACUUAAAUCUGAACUUGUGAUAUAUAUUUUCUUAAAUAAGUUUGAUUGAAUCUUAUUUUUGUUGUUGAAUAUAUUAAAUGGUAAAAUUUUAUUCUAAAUUUUUAGAAAAAUGUUUAUAUAUNNNNNNNNNNNNNNNNNNNNNNNNNNNNNNNNNNNNNNNNNNNNNNNNNNNNNNNNNNNNNNNNNNNNNNNNNNNNNNNNNNNNNNNNNNNNNNNNNNNNNNNNNNNNNNNNNNNNNNNNNNNNNNNNNNNNNNNNNNNAUAUAUAAACAUUUUUUUUAGAAAUUUAGAACAAAAUUUUACCAUUUAUUAAGUAAUUUGAAAAGAAAAAAAUAUAUUCAACAGUCAAAAUAAGAUUGAAUCAAACUUAUUUAAGAAAACAUAUCACAAGUUUAAAUUUGAGUCAUGUAAAUGCUCCAUUAAUGAGACAUGUAAAUGCUCCAUUAAUGUAGAGAGAGAAAGAUAAAUAUGGUUAAGGAUAAUAGGGAGGUGUAGGAUAUUUUUGGAAUAAAAGAAAAUAUGAAGAAGUGUAGAAUAUUUUUGAAAUAAAUUAAAAUAGUGAGGAAGUACAUGUCUCACUUGGGGAGGUGUAGGGAGCAACACCCAAAUUUUAAUUCGAGCCAAUUUUGACCCGAUUCACACGGGUUAAAUCCAUGGUGGGUCAGGUUGACUCACCAACCCACCUAUUUUUUUAAUUAAAACAAAUUAAUUAAAUUAAUUAUUCAAGUUCUAUUUUUUUUUGAAAUCAAAUUAAUUAUUCAAAACACACCUUUAUCUAGCAAUAGAGUCUUUCUUGCUGUUAUCUUUCCAAAAGUUUCUCUCUACAAAUCAAACCCUAAGUUCCCCUCUGCAAAUCAAACUCUUACACAGAAAAAUCAUAUAAAUCAUCCUAUAUAUACAAUAUAUUUAUAACAUUUAAACAUCCUAUAUAUACAAUGUUUUUACAAUAUUUAAACAUAUACAAUAUUUUUACAAUAUUUAAAUAUCUUAUAUAUACAAUAUUUUUACAAUAUUUAAACAUCUUAUAUAUAAAAUAUUUUUACAAUACUUUUAAUAAUUAAUAACACAAAAAAAAAUAUAUAAUAUUUUUACAAUCACUUAACCACUUCAUCAAACACUUUCAUUUUUUAAUAUACAGAAUCAUAGUAAUAUAAAAUCAUAUAAAAUAUCCUAUAUAUAAAACAUUCUAUGUAACUAAGAUUUUUUAGUUUUUUUAUAUUAAUUAUUUCAAAAUAAACACAUAUUACUUAUGAUAAUAGGAUUCUUUAAUUUUAUUUAUAUUAAUAAAUACAAAAUAAACACAUGCUACUUAAUAAUUUAGAUUCUUCAGUUCUCUUAGUUUCUUUUGUAUCAAUUUGUCCAAUUAUUACUAGUACAAUUUGAUCGAUCAAAGUAACAUAUUAUAAAAAUUUCAGAAAAAGAAAGUGAAAAAAAAGAGUUAAGUGAACCAAUGAGCUAACCCGUUUAACCCAUCAACCCGUGAUGAAUCGAGUCGGAUUCAAUUUUUUCGACUCACUAAUAAAUAAGUCAGAUUGAAUUGACUCCCUGAAUGAUCAAGCUAUGAUGAAUUAAGUCAGAUUACCGUUUUCAGAACUCUAGGUGAAAUAAGUCAAAAGUGCUUAUAAAUGCUGUUAUAUUCUUUGAAUGAACGAAGUAUCCAUGCAAUAAUUAAAAGGAUUUGAGACAUAAUUAAUUUAUACAAGGGACGUAAGACUAAGACGUAAGGUAAACUAUAUCCCCUUAUCAAAAUUUUAAAACAAGUUUGUAUUUAUUAUUGAUUUUGCUGGUGUACAUUAAAUAUGUCGAAUUUACGAAAUUCUAAUAUUGUGAUAUGGAACUGUGUUUUCCUUUAAUUAUUAUUUUUUGUAAAGUAGUGGAAAAAAUGGGAAUUGACAAGACAUGAUAGACGACACUAGUCUCCAUUCAGAUUACAAAAGUUGAGGAUGUAAUGUAACAUCAAACGUCUGAAUUAAGUUAACUUUUUGACGUCAAUGCACAUUAUAGUGGUUCUCUGUAUUCCUGCAUCUGCUCACUUUGUUGGUAUCAUUGCUGAACUAACCUUCUCACUGCUAAAAUCUGUAUACACUAUCCAUUCACAGAUUCAUCGCUUCGAGAUUGGGUAGGAACAAAAUUAGGCUAUCCAUACUUCGAUCAAACAAUUUUUCUUAUAUAUAUAAAUAUAUAUUUUGAAAUUAAUUUAAAUAAUUACAAAUUGGAUUUUUGUUAUUAAUAAUGCUAUUAUGGUUUUAAUAUCCACAGCAUACAAAAAUGACAUGCUAAACUAAAUUAAAUAAUUAUUUAAAUAAAAUAUUAUCAUUUCAUUGUUAAAUGUAUCAAAUUGUAUAAAUGAUAACUUAGAAACUUAUUUUACAAAUAAUAAUAACUUAGGUUGUGUUCUUUUGGGAGGAUUUGUGGGAGAUGAUUUGAAUGGAUUUUAGUGGAUUCGAGGGUAAUUUUAUUUUUGUUUUUUUGAGUGGAUUUGUGGGUAAUUGAGAGUGGAUUUGAGAGUAAAGUUUGUGAGAAUUAGUGUAGGAUUUGAUUGAUGUGACAGAUUUAAAAAAUUAGUUUAAUUGGUAAAAAUUAUAGAUUACCAAAAUGCCCCUAGGUAUUAAAGUAAUAUAAAAUGUGAUUUUUGUAAUGUUAUAUUUGAAUGUAUAAAUGUUAAUAAAGAGAGGAAAUUAAUUAAUAAUAAUUGAAAUAAUAAGUAAAAUUAAUUUUUAAAAUAUUAAAAAUUAUAAUGUUGUAAAUUAAUUUUAUUUUUGUUUUUUUGAGUGGAUUUGUGGGUAAUUGAGAGUGGAUUUGAGAGUAAAGUUUGUGAGAAUUAGUGUAGGAUUUGAUUGAUGUGACAGAUUUAAAAAAUUAGUUUAAUUGGUAAAAAUUAUAGAUUACCAAAAUGCCCCUAGGUAUUAAAGUAAUAUAAAAUGUGAUUUUUGUAAUGUUAUAUUUGAAUGUAUAAAUGUUAAUAAAGAGAGGAAAUUAAUUAAUAAUAAUUGAAAUAAUAAGUAAAAUUAAUUUUUAAAAUAUUAAAAUUUUAUAAUGUUGUAAAUUAAUUUUAUUUUUAAAUAUAGUAUUUGUUUGAAAAAUAAUGUCCAAAUAGACAAUUUUUACUCUUGCACCUCAGAUUUCUCUACAUGCACCCCUCAGUUCUAAACCAGGCCAAUACUAAAGCCCAACAGAAACCCUAAUUCUCUUGCCAAACCCUAGCUGCCGCCUCCUCCAUGGCAGCCACAUCGCGCACCACCAACGAGUCGUCGCACAACGCCUCCAUCAUCUGCGACCAUGUUUCUCACCACCAUCCCGCCGUUCAACACCCAUAGCCUUCAGCCACCCUAAAGCCACCACCGUCAACCUUCAAGCCGCUGCCAACCACCGUCGCCGGCGUGCUCGCCGACCAUCAUGAAGCUUCACGCCACCACCCAAUCUUCCGUGAGCAAGCAACAGUCGAAAUUGCCGUCGCGAGUCUUCUUCCUCGCAGACCACCAUCCACCAUCACGUAACCAUCAUCAUCACUUCAGCAGGCCACCGCCACCGUCGCCAACACCAGUCACACACCACUCCGAACACCACUCACAGACCAACCUCCAUCAUCAUCUGCGCCCACACCAGUCAACACCAGUCACGUACCACCGACGCCGACAGCACCCAAUCAACCCACACACACCAUCCCUGGAAGUCCUUCCACCACCGAACCGGAAACUACGGCAAUCAGAGUCCUUCCAGCACCUCGAACCACAUAGCUGAACGUUGGUGGAGAAGAUGGAACCGGAUACGUCCAAAGUGGAUCAGGAUACGUACUUAAUGCAAGUUGUUCAAGCACCUGGAUCCGGAUACGCCAUCUUUGUAUCCGGAUACACUGGUUUGAAACUCUUCAACCAGACGCCCUCGGCCUUUCCAACCAAAUCUUCUUCACUUCUUUAAUCACUCCUUGCACGUUUGGUUGGCUGCAUGGACUCCAUCAUCAUCAUGAACACCAUUCUUCCUCGUCGAACUGUGUUGCUCAUGUUGGAAAUCGCAACCCUUCAACCUGCAAGUCCAUUUUUAUGUUGCUGUUGGAAGUCCAUUUUUCGUACAGGGAUAGAUAUGUCUUUGCACUCACAAUCCGCACAAAUCCUCUCAUAUUUGCGGGAUGGCUUCAACAGUAAUAUUUCGUAAAUCGGCUGAUUACUUUCAUCGCAAAUCAGCGGAAGAGAAUACGACGUAAAUGGCAAAUCCAUCUUUGCAUAUCUAUGUGAACAGGACCAUGCACGCAAACGAACAGAGGCUUAGAAACUUAUUCUACAAUAUAUUUGUGUAUGUUUAAAUAAUUGUAAUGUGAGCACCGUUUCAUUCAAAUUUCUCAAAAUAUAAUAAUUCUAAAUUCAGAAUAUUCAAAAUCUACUUUAUUAUAUUAUUCUAUUAUACAAAAGUUUACCAAGGUUUGAAUUUAAUGAACACCGCAUACUCACUAAUUAUAUUUUUUUAGUUUGAUUUUUUAAAUUUGACUAUUUUUUUUUAUGUUUGUUCUGUGGUUUAUUUCAAUUGAGUUUGUGUUGAUUGAAAAACUUAAGAUUUAAUCAAUUGAGCAAGUUGGUAUGUAUUUUUAUAUUAAAAGUUGUUUUUUACCAAGGUACUAAAAAAGAAAUACUAAUUUGAUCAUUUGAGCAUGUUGAUUUUUUUCCAAAUUAUAGAAUUGGUCUACGGAUAUCCAAUAAAGCACUGAGUGGUGGCAAUAUGGCGUUAUGCGCCAAUUCAUUGUGCAGAUCUGGGAACAUUUUAGCUUAAAAUCGUUGAGCGCCAGUUUUGUAUCACUGAGUUGAAAAAUGUCAAUGCUUUAGUGCUAAGCAGUAGUAGUAUAGCACCACUCAACACCAUUUUUCACUGCAAGUUUGGAACAAUUUUAGUUUCAGGACGUUGAAUGGAAAAGAAGUGUCACAAAGCGCAACUUUUUGUGAGAAGAAUGACACUAAGGGUCAUAUUUGUUGUUAAGUACCACCUUUUGUGAAAGAUUUGUCGAUAAGUGUCACGACUCAUUGAGUACACCUUUUACAAGAGGUUUGCACUAAGCGUCAAAAGCCAUUUUGUAUAUUGGAUUUGUGUUCCUGUUUGAUUGUUUGAUAUUGAUUUAAAUGGAUUUUAUACAUGGUUAUGAAUAUUUUAACAUUUUAUUGAGAUGAUGAUAUUAUUAUGGAUAUGUAUGAUGAUGAUUGUUGAAGGAAUUUUAUGGAGAAAUUCUUUGUGGUUUUGUUAGUUUAUGCGUUGACAUGGGUCAGAAAAAAUGCAUCAUGAACUCUAAUAAUUAUUCAAACUCAAAUAGAGUAGAAUGAAUUAUGUGAUGAGAGUCGCAAGAAGUUAUAACCAUAUAUUGUUGGUCAUAGGUACCAAGAUGACUAACCCUAUAAGUGGUAAGGUGACAAGUUCUUUGCUUAUGACUCUACAAAGCAUAUAUACCAUUACAAGUACAUGUCUAUGUUGAAUCCCUAUGUCAAAGACAUGUAUUCGAAUAAUUGAAUCUAGUGCCAAUUAUUUGUGUGAAUACAUGACUUUUUGUAUACAUUAUACGUGUUUAGUUUAUAAAUUGGUAUUUUAUGAUUAAAUUAGACUAACUAUUUUUUAUAUUGCCAUUUCUUCUAUGUUGUUCUGUUUAUAUUGUUUCUUUUUUUUCAAUGAUCAUCUUUACUAAUAUGAGUAAAUGAGAAAACUAAGAGUUGAUAUAUCUCAUAAGAGAUAUAUAUUGUUAUUGUUUUGUUUUUAAGGUUGUUUUUCUUUCAUUUCUAGAAUCUUAAAAAAAAAAUUAUCGUUAUGUUAUAGUUUUUUAGAAUUAUAUUUAUAUAUAUCAUGUUAUUGUGUGAUAUUUUGAAAUGAUAUAAUAGCAAUUUUUUAGAUUGUGAUUCUUUUAGACAUUACUAACAAAUAUUUUAAAAUGAAGUAGGUGAUGCAAUACAUGUCUAGAAAAAAAAUAUUUACUCACACUCUCCUGUAAUGUAUAGAGAAUACAUUUUAAUAACUGUAUACAUAUAUUAAACGUUAAAAUUAUACUUAAAUUAAAAAUAUUAUGUUAACCCAAAUUAUUUUUGUGACAAUAAAAUUAAAUAAUGGUGGAAAUUAUGAAAAAUAUUAUAAAUUGCACUUAUGAUAUCAAGCAACCAUUUACUUACUAUUAUUUACUUUAUCAUUUUAGGUAUUGGAGGAGUCAUGAAGAAUCGAGAAAGUUAAUUAGGGCAAAAGAAGUGUGAUGUGAGAGUUAUGGGUGGGGCAAUCAUGAUAGGUUGGAUUACAAUUAAUUAGCCAAUUGACACAUGUAGCUAGUAAUGGUAAGUUGGUAUACAAUAAAUAAAGUGAUUAUCUAAUAAUUCAAGUCUAUUAACAGUAAAUAUUAAAAUCAUUCGCUUUUAAAACCCUGAAAACUUUAACCAACCAAAGGUAUUUCAAGAAACUGAAAUCAAAUUUGGAUAUAUGUGAACAAAAAUUAAAUAUAUAUUGGGCAAGAUGUGACUAUGUUAAGUUAGAUUGUCCUUGUCCAACUCAACACUUAGUGUAAAUAUAAAUCAUUUCAAGAUAGGACUGAAAUCAUUUACUCGAAAGAUUAUAAAUUUAAAAUAAAACAGAAAAUAAAAUAAAAUUCUGAGAUGUAAAUAGAUUGUAAUUUCGUUAUAUUUAUAGGAUAAGCCAAUAUAGCAUAUAUUAAACAAAAUAUAGUUUAAAAAUAGUAUUAGUAUUUAAUAAUGCAUUGUUUUAAAACAUGGAAUAUCAAAUAUCAGAUUAAAUUAAAUCGGCAUAAAAUAUCAGUGUAUAACUCAUCUUGUUCAUCCAACCUUUCCGGGGAAGAGAAAAUUUGAUGAAUUGGAAUCUAAGAAAAUAGAUUCAGUGUAUAUUGGUAGGAAGUUUAAGUAAAAAAUAAAAAUAAAAAUAUAUGGAAUGUUCCAAUUUGACCCAUUACCACGAAUUCGUUUAAGAAACAAUUUUAUCUAGUGUCUCAAUAUAUUUUUUAAAUUAAUAAAUUAUUUUAUUGAAUAUAUUAUCAUAUCAUAUUUAUAUUAAUAUGAUUUAUCUAUAAAUAUACGUUAUAAAACAUGUUUAUGCCAUAUGUAUAUUUCCUUUUACUAUAACUUCAAAACAAUAGUAUUUUAGAAUCUUUAAUAUCUUCCGUUACUUUUAAAUAGCUUUCCCAAAGUUAAAACUUCACAAUUCAAUAGAUUAAGCUACCUUCAACUAGAGAUCCAUUACAAAGUAUUUAAACAAAUUAGAAAUUUAGUAUAAAAUGAGUUAAGCUGAUAAGAUCACUUCUCUCAACUAUAUCUGAUAAGGUUGAUGAUUAAAACAUGUAGGAGAUGAAAAUUUUUAAAAAAGAUAUAAAAACUCACACUAUUUUUGAAAUUUGAUCAAUUUAAAAAGCUCUUUAACUUUUCAGUUUCAACAUAAUGCAAUUAGACUUUAGAAUGGAUAAGAAAUGAGGAAGGGAUUGAAAGUAAAAAGAAAGGUGAAAGGAGUUUUGUGAGUCCCGAAAAGAGAAGGAAAAUAUAAAAAUAAAGUUAAUGUUUUUAACUUUCUUUUUCCUUGGUUUUAAAUUUUUAAGAUGUCACAAUUUUGAUAUAUCAUUGAAAUUUAGAUUUAGUCUUAUCGGAGGUGGAUUGGAUCUUUUAGACCAUAACGGGUAUUCAGCAUCAUUCAAUAAACACGGCAGGGCACCCAUUGGCACUGAUUUCAAAAGGCAUAGAUAGGUGCAGUAGUGAGAAAAAGAAAACUUGGGCCCAAAAACUUUUUGAGAUUAAAAAAAAAAAAAAGUCUCUUCUAUUAUCCAUGAUUUCCUUUUUUAAUAAGCAAUGGAUUUGGCUCAGCAGUUCUUCAACUGCAAUGCUCAGAGCAAAACAUGGAGGAGUGGUUUGGAAGAAGGUCGCUUGAUAUGUGACCAAAUAGUUUAAGAUGUUCAAUGAAACGUAACUGCACCACAUAGCGCUGCUUGAUAAGACCAGAAUGCUGAUUUCACCUGUACUGUUGGCGGCACGCUUGUUCAAGCGAAGUGAAAUAAAACAGAUAUGAAGAUAAAACGAGUUUUGAAGAGCCCUGAAUGAUAUGCACACCACACAUCAUAUAUUUGAGAAUAUAUAUUAUUAGUCUGAUAUGAUCAAGUCAAACCUUUUUCUCUGAGAUAGUAUUUAAAAAAUUUCUGACUCCACCAAGUUUUGAUGCAGAAAAUAUAUUAAGACUUAAGCAGAAGAGCAAUGUUAUGCACUAUACACUCCAUCAGAACAAAUGUCAUUUGCAGUAGUGUAUGCAUAGAAAGGGAAAUCAAAUGAAAACUUAAAGAAUCCACUGUCGACAGAGGAGGGUGAUGUAAAGGUUCCAAAGAAAUGGAUGUUAGAUUUCAAUUCUGGAAAAGGUGAAGUUUAUAUUAGGGAGCAGUCCAAGAGGAGGCGCACCACAUAACUUUGUUCUUGUUCUAAAUGUCCAAGUCCAACUUAAAGUCAAUAAGAUUUACUACAUAUUUAAAUAAAUUUCUCUGUAAACAGAGUGAAAAGAAAAGUUUGUCUGAUGAUCAAAGAUCUAAGAGUGCAUUUCUCCGACAAUAUUCUUGUAUUCAAAUGUUUAGCUUUGCUGAGUAAAUUGGGCUAGUCAAAACAUAUACAAAAUAAAAAAAACUAAAGAAAAUGGAGCUCCUCACAAGAUAUGAGGACAGGGACUUGUGCUGAUGAUUAAAGAUCUAUAACUCCAAAAUCUAAUCUUUGUCAAGUUGGGAUUUGAGCCUCUUUGUCUGGAGUGAAUCCAUUAUAAUGGGUAUCUUCAAAUACUACAGAAAGCCAGAAAUCUUUCUUCAAUCUGCCGACAAUCCUUGAAAUCCUAAAUUUGAGGAACUCCAAUGCUACAGAGUACAACCUUGUACCAUCGAUAAUAGAGCUCCUUUGAUAUUCAAGAACCCAAGUAUUGGAGUCUAAUUGCACUGCUGAAGCAUCCCAUUUUGGUUGCAUCCAUGAAGUAUUUCCCUUCAGAAUCAAAUAGCCUCCCUGUCCAUCAUUCCACUUUAUAAACAGAUUGACAAGGAGUUAGUCAACAACCAUCAAUUAAUCCUAGUCAUCAGAACUAGGGAUGUUGACUAAAAAACAAGAUUGCAGAGAAUUCACUGUUCACCUGGGUGACUCUUCCUGAUAAGAGAGUGAAUGUUCGAGUAGAGAACCCGUUUGUGAGUAAUCCUGCUGUUUGCAAAGGCCAUCCCCAGAUUGUUACCUCUUCUGUAAGAGAUUUGUACAUUGUACACCUUGAAUUCAAUAGCAGACCAUCCUGGACAAAAUUUUAAUUGAUUGUUUUAAGCCAUAUUGCCCUAUCAUUAACAACUUAAAAAUGUAGUGAAAAAUGAAUGUGCUUUAGGUUAUUUAGUAAAAAUUAGCUGUAGUCUCCACAUUUUAAAAAAGCUAGUUCAUAUUCAAGAAAUAUGAGAACCAAAUUUUAUCCUACAAUCAACAAAAACAGAAUAAAAAAGCUUUCUUUUAAGGAGUCACAAAUACCUGGAUGAUUUUCCAAGAUGAGGCAUCGGUAAAACUGCAAUUUGAAACUUGUCCAACAACCACGCUUGCCAACUCUUUGUGCAAAAACCUCAGCUUUCCAUUCAAAUCAUUCACUCGACUACAUUUCUCACCGAACCUUUUUAUCACAUACGGCGACAGAGCAGACUUGAAAACCCCAGAAACCACAGAGGAGAAAACAAGGUCCGCAGAUAAAAGGAAUCCAAAAAAGAGAAGCAACCUCAAGAAACUGAAAGAAGAGGUUUGCUGUUUCAUGCUCUGCUUCUCCAUUUCGUGAAUGGAGUCUGAUGUGGAACUUGAUUUGGAGAGAGGAGUGGAUGAUGAGAGCUGAAAAGAACUGGAUCGGGGAGUGGACACAACGGAGGCAUCGAAGGAGAUAGGGGUACAGAGAACUUUGUUGUUGUUUUUGUUGGAUUUAGAGAGCUUGGUGAGGGUGCUUUUAUGGACGCUGGUGGGCAUGAGAUCGAGGGUGGCAUUGAUGCUGGCCAAACACAUUUCGCAAUUGCAAUUGGCAUCUUUCUUACAACCAGGAAAGUAGCAGCUGCUGUCACGGUUGUCUUCUUCCCAUGUGCUGGAUUUUGAUUUUGAUUGCACAAAGAGGGUUCCCAUGGCUUCUUCCUUCUCCCAAUCCACAGAUUCUUUGUAUUUAUUUUCUACUUUUGAUUUUUCCUCUGGCCCGUUGUAACAACCUUAAUGUGGUUUCAGGCCCCAACUUUGAAUUUGAAUCACAACGGUUAUAUUGGUUUUUGGUUUUUUAGGAUUUUAUUUUAUUUCAACUUUUAAGGUGUUUUCAAAUUUCAAAAAUUAAAAGUGGGAAAGAACUCUCUUCGUACUAACAAAUUAUGGUUUGAAGUAAUUAAUUAUUGGAAAAUGAUAUUUUAACAACAUUUUGACACUGUACAUGUGUCAAAAUGUGAUUGAACGAUUUUAAAUUAAAAAAAUAAACUUUGGUCUUACUUUUCCAAAUGUAUCCCUGCUUGAACUUUUUUAAUUUAAAAUCGUCCAAUUACAUUGGUGUCAAAAAAUGGUAUUAAAAUAUCAUUUUCCUUAAUUAUUCUCUAAGGCCAACUUCCUAAAAGUUAUUAAAAAGUAUUAUUUCUUGUUGUUUUUCUCUUUUCAUUAUAUAGAAACAUGUACAAUAUUAUUGUGUUACACGUAAUAUUAUUGUGUUUAUAUUUUUAUAUCAAAUAUGAUAUGAUUUUGGAGAUUGAAAUUGUAAAUAUGUCUUUUUGUCUAGCAAGCCUGGAUUCUUUAUGAUUAAAAAAAUGUUGAUAUAUAUUAUUAUAUUUCUAUACGAUUUAUAAUAAUUAUUAUAAAAUAUUUUCUUUCAGAAUAUUAUGGGUAUAGUUUGGGUAAAUUUAAAACCUUCUCUCUUUUCAAGAAUCUUAUUGUUUUCACUUUUAAAAUAUUAGUUUGUGUAAAAAGUUCCAAUUAAAUAAAAUCAAUAAUAUAUAUAUAUAUAUAUAUAUAUAUAUAUAUAUAUAUAUAUAUAUAUAUAUAUAUAUAUAUAUAUAUAUAAGUGAGUAUAUAUCUCUCUCUUUAAAUCAAUUGUUUAAGUUAAAUUAAGUUUCAAAUUCAUAAUCAUGGUGACGAAAAAUAUAUGAGGAAAUUGAAGAUUGUUGGCACGAUAUUGGUCAUCAUGGAUGAUGGUGAUAAAAGUAUACGUGCAUUGACUUUAAAUGAAAAUUGGAGUGAGUUACUUCCUAAUGAUCAGAUUAAAACUGAUACUAAAUUAGAAACAUUAAAAUCAUAUGUUCGUUCUGAUAAAACGAAAACCUAGUAUUUUUUUAAUGUGUAUUUCUCACUAUUUAAUAUUUGUAGGUUAAAUACUUUUUUUGUCCCAGUUUUGGUUACGAAUAUUUGAAAUGGUCCCAUUUUAUUUUUCUGUUCAAUAUAGUCCUAAAAAACGUAAUUAUGUUCAAUUUAGUCCUUUUUCUGUUCAAUGUAGUCCUAAAAAACGUAAUUUGUGUUCAAUUUAGUCCUUUUUACAAACUUCGUGAACCACAAACAAGGACUAAAUUGAACACAAAUUACAUUAUUUAGGACUACAUUGAACAUAAUUACGUUCUUUAGGACUAUAUUGAACAGAAAAAUAAAAUGGAGACCAAUUUUAAUAUUCGUAACCAAAACUGGGACAAAAAAAGUAUUUAACCAUAUUUGUAUUUAUAAGUUUUCUUUUCGUGUCAUGUUAGAGUCAUAGUCUCUUAAUUCUUACUUUCAUUUUGUACAAAAAAAUAAAACAUGACUGGGACGACUGCAUAAGUGAUCCAAAUAUAGUUCUUUUAUUUUCUUUUCAAUAUACAUCUAAAGUUUAAAUUACAAGUUUUUAAUUUUUUUUUCAUUUUUUUUAAUUCAAUCGAUUUUCAGUCUACAACUUUUCCUUAAUUGUCAAUUUUAGUCCUUACUUCUCUUUCCUUUUCGAUUAUUUCUCUAAAGUUUGUGCAAAUUCAAAUUUACAGUUAUCAUUAACAUUUUUUAAUAUUUUCUUUAAUCUCUAAAGUUCAUCUUAAAUAAAUUUCUUUCUAUUCGAAUUUAUAUAGUUUGUUUAUAUUAUCCGUCUACAAUUUCUUCUAUUAACCAAUCAUCAUUUUUGGAUUAUUUCAUUGGUGUUUAUUUAAUUUUGCAAUAAAUUUAAUUUCGUUAAAAUGAAAUCAAACGUUUUACUUGUAAGACCUUCAAUGUUUUAUCUCCUAAAGUAAUAUUGUUAGUUUGUGUUCGAUUAAUUAACAUUUAAAUAUUCGUUAUUAUUUACAAAUCAAAAUCUUUAUCGGAUCAAGGAAUUAAGAACUUAAUCAAUACAUUAAUAAACUAAGAAUGACUAUGCAAAUUGAUAAGAGAAUUUUAUUUAUCAUCUUAUCAUUUAGAAUCAAACAGUCAAACUUAAAAAUGACAAAAUGGGCAUGAUAAAAUGACAAAAUGGGCAUGAUGUUUCGGAUUGGAAGUCAAUUGUUUUCAACAUCAAACUCAAAAUAACUUCACAUAGUAAUCCAAGUCUUAACUUCAUUGUUCCUUAUAUCAGAUUACUUAUAAAAAGUAUUUAGAUACUUAAAUCAAUAGAUGAAGGUUAGAUAAUUAUAGUCAAUUUUCAAUUGUGCAAUAAAUAUGACCUUUUAUCUUAAAUUUAUGUAUUUAAAGAUUUUGGAAUGUAUUUUUAAUUGACACAGGCCUAAUAAACACAUUUUACUUAUAGAUGUGUUUAAUUUGUACCUUUCAUCAACUUUUAGGUCUUAAUUAUUAAGUGACUUACCAAUCAAUCAUUGUUUUUCAAAAUUAAUGAAAGAUAUAAAAAGUUGACCACCUAAUUAAUGGUUGAUCGAACCGUUAAAUGAUACAAAAUUUUAUCUCUUAGUUCGUUCUGAACUAUAUAUGACAAGUUAAACAUCAAUCUAUUUUUAAAAAAAUAAAAUAAAAAUACAAUAAAAAUUUAAAAGUUAACUUUUAUGUAUUAUUAUCAUUUGAAGAUGUAAAUACACAAUAAUUUUAUGUUUUAAAUUAUUAACACAUACAAAUUAAAUUUUCAUUAUUAAUAUAAUAUAAUAAUUUAACACGUAAAAAUAAUAAUUAUUUAAAAAUUAAUUAAUUAAUUAAAAUUUAAAAAUAUUCACAAUAUACUUUAUAUAUAUAUAUAUAUAUAUAUAUAUAUAUAUAUAUAUAUAUAUAAGUAAAUGUAAUUAAAAAAUUAAUAAGUCAGCUUGUCAGUCAACCGGUCUACCCUUUGUACGGCAGAUUCGAAAGUCUAAUCCGUUUUCUUGUAAUGAGUUGACCUAAUUUAUCCCAUUAUCGAUUGUGAAUCAAAUAUGUUUUGCCAUCUCUGAUAUAGCAUUAAAUUUAGAUUUUGAAACAAAUGGAAAAUAAUAUUUUAAAACAAAAUUGAUUGUCCAUUCAUAUAAAAAAAUUCAUUAAUAAACAGGAUUAGAACAUAUAAAAAAAACUUGGUUCAGCAUCAUUCAGAAACAGCUGGCUUACAGAAUGAAUUAACUCAUAUUUGUUGUCUCUCACCAAAAUCAAACCAUCCCAAUAAAUACCAUAUUAAAUGCUAUUCCGCGAAUUUAUUUUUUUUUCAUUUUUAACUAUUUGAAAAACACACAAACAAAAAACUAAAUUUGCAGGUAAGAGUUACCCAAAUAUUUAUAUUCCACCAUAUAUUUCUAACUCUAAAUAAAGUUCAUAAAAAUAGCUUACUAGACCAAACGUAUCCUCGAAGGUUCUAGUAAUUAUACUAGAUUAAAAAAGAAACAAUUAAUGGGAUUAUGAUAGGAUAUAAUGGCCAUUAAUGAAAUAAAUUCAUACUUUCCCGUUAAGAAGGGCUUAAAACAAGAAGCAAAAAGGUGGCCAGUUUUCCAACCACAAAUAUUCCAAUAAUUACCUAGGAGGUUCUUUUGAAACUUUGUUUCUAGGGUGUUACUCUUUUCCACCAUCCCAAAUCUUUCUUUAUCUCUUCGUUAUUUUCUUUUAUUAUAAAAAUAAACUUGUGAUAUAUUAUAAAAUAUAAAAUUUAAAGAAAACUUCAAUAUAAAUAUUUUUAUGAUUACAGUUUAUAUUCUUAAAAAUUAGAUACAAAUACAAAAUAAUAAACAUAAUAAUAUUAAUAAUAAAUAAUAAUAAUAUAUUAUUAUCAUAUACUAAUUUUAUAAUGACGUAAAAACUAAAUAAAUUUCAAAUAUUUAAUAAAUAACUUUUCUUUUAUAUUUUAAAUAUUUAAUAAUAUUUUUAUAUUAUUUAUCUAAUAAAUUAAAUACUUUAUUCAAGUUAUUUGAGUCAAACAUGUCAAUAAGUUAAAAAAUAAUAUAAGGUUAAAAAUGAUAGAUAUUAAAUGUAAAAAAAAACAUAUAAAAAUAUUUUUCUAGAAAUUUAGAACAAAAUUUUACCAUUUAUUAAGAAUAUGAAAAAAAUAUAUAUUGAACCAUGAAAAUAAGAUUCAAUCAAACUUAUUUAAGGAAAAUCUGAGUCAUCUAAGUACUCCAUUAAUACAGAAAGAGAAAGAGAAACAUUAUUAAAGAUAGUAGGAAGUUAUAGGAUAUUUUUGGAAUAAAAAAAACUUUUCAAAUAAAAAAAAUAAUAAGAAGGUGCAGAAAUACUUAAAGCAAUGGAGAGAGCAGCACCCUUGUUUUUAUAGUGUCCUAUGUCACUCCAGGAAAAAAAAAAGUAAACCAUAGAAAAAAAUAUUAUUCAUGAUAAUGUUAGUGUCAACAAAUAUUUGGAAAUCAUGCAUAAUAUUGAAAUAAAAAAAUAGCAUAACAUUAAAGUAUAUAUAAGAAAAUAUUUCUCUAAAUUUAAAAAAGGUAAAGUAAUGUCAUUAUUUUUUUGUAAGUAAAUUUAAAUUGAUUUCUUGUUUUUACAUAUUUUUAAUUUUGUUUCUGUUUUAAUAAAUUUGAUGUAAUCAAUGAAGGUUAAAUAAAUGUCACGUGUUAUUUAUUGGUUUUUUUGAAAAGUUAUUUUUUAACAUUUGUUUUUUUUAUCUUUUUAAAUAAAAAAAUAUUGCAUGUUAAAUUCACUAUGAGUGUGUUUACUUGGAGGUAAUUGGAGGAGAGUGAUUGGGGGAGAGUGAUUGAAUGGAUUUGAGGGGAUUUGAGGGUGAUUUUUUUGUGUUUAUUUGAGUAGAUUUAAAAGUAACUGAGAGUGAAUUUGAGGGUGAAGUUUGUGAGAAUAAGUGUAGGAUUUGAUUGAUGUGACCGUUUUAAAAAAAUUGUUUUAUUAGUAGAAAUUAAAGAUUACCAAAAUACCCUUAAGUAUUAAAGUAAUAUAAAAUGAUAUUUAUUAAUGUUAUGUUUAAUUUUAAAAAUGUUUAUUAAGAGUAAAAGUUAAAAAUAAUUUUUAAAAAUAAUUAAAUUAUAAUUAUUUUUGGUAUUUUUGAAAAAAAAAGGUGUAAGGAAGAAGAGGUUUCAUUUUUUUUUUAAAACUGACCCAGAAGCCCAAAAUGCCUUUAACCUAGAAACCCAGUGGGUGUUCUUUCCCCUCAUUCUACACUCUUCUCUUUCAGCAGCUUUCCAGAUCUAGGGUCUCCUUCGAAAGUGUUGUGUUUGUACAUUUAUGGGUUCUUGAUUCUUAAGAGAAAGAUAGAAAGAUGCAAGGUGCUCCAACAGGGAGGGUGUCUGAACCAGUUUCAGAUUUGUAGGUUGGACGUGUUGGGGUUGGAGGUGCUGUGUUUAUGCAUGUGUGGGUUCGUGUUUGCGGAAGGAGAGAUUGAAGGACUUGACUCACUGCAAUAAUGAGGGUGUUGGAACGAGUUGGGGGUGAGUGAAGUCUGAGUCUGGGUGGUGAUGAUGAUAUAGUGGUGAGUGAGAUUGCAGGAAAUGGCGCCUGCAGCUUCAAACUCCUCUUCGUAUGAUAUCUUUACUGUAAGGCUGGAGGCAAUGAAGCUCAACAACUCAGAAAUCUUUGCUGAAGCACGUGCAUAACACUGAGGGUACAUGUGACAUUUCACUCACAAUCUCUCCAAAUCUCUUCAAAGUUGUGGGUGAUAAAAAACAAAUGCAAUCCCGCAAGCAAAUCCUCUCGUCCGAACACGAAUUUCUUCUCAGUUCAUCGCUCGCAAUAUUCCAUUAACACACCCAUAUGUCACGUAACAAUAAAGUAUGACGUGAUAGUGUUGUAUGUCACUGUUACGUCAUAUUUUAUUAUCUUUAUUUAAAUUUAAUUUUUAUAUUUUUAUUUUAUCUUAGUUUUUUUUUAAUUGAACAAUUUCAUUUUUUUUAAAUUGAAACUAAAUUAAGAUGUUACACAUCUUUAAUAUAGUUAAUACAAUAAAUAAAAAAAAGUAACUUGAUUGUAUCAAAUUUUUCAAAAUAAAAAUUAAGUUGAAAUGAUGAUCAAUUUAAAAUUUCCUUACAACAUAGAAACUAAUGUCUUGUUUUAACCUUUGAAAUAAAUCUUUGAAAAGUAUCAAGAAUAAAGAAUAACAACAAUAAUAAAAAAAAAUAAUGAUCAAAGACACAUUAACUAUAUAUAAACAAAUUUACAGUGUAUUUAAAUAACAUAAAUUUUAUUUUAUAAACCAAUUUUAUAUUAUUAAAAUUUACUUAUUAAUAUAAAAGUUAUAAAAACUCAUGGUAAUGAAAUUUGAAAUUCAUUGUUUAACAUAUUUAUUGUGUCAUUUGCUAUUAAAUCACUGUCAAUAUUUUUAACAUAACGACCGAAGUAAAAAUUCAUUAGUAUAAGUUAAUAAGAUAAAUUUCACUAUGAUAAAAUAUUAAAUAUAAGAAAAUCAAAGGAAAAUCAUAAGUAAAUGCAAUUAAAUUUUAAAUAUAUAGUUAUAAAUUGAGUACAAAAGACCAAAAGAAGGUUAACCUGAUUGCUAAAGAUAAAAAUCGUAUUUUACAAAGUAAAUAAAAGAGUUGAAUUUUGUUAUUAAAGUGAUUAUGUAAAGAAUUCUGCUAAUAGGUAAUAUUAAAGUAUAUUUAUACUCAUUCCUAUACACGUUAAAAAUUUAGCAUCAAUUCAAUCAUGAACAAGAACUAUAACAAGUUUUGAGAUAGUUUUCUUCAGUUAAAUGAAAAAAAAAUAUAUACUUUAAUUGUUUUUGUCAAUAGAUAUUCUUAAUUUAUAAAUUAAUAUAUAAUAAAUACAACUUUAUUUGUUGAAUUAAAGUAUAACAUUUAGAGUAAAUAAAAUAAAAAUGUUUGGUACAAUACCUUAAAAUAGUUUUUUUUUUUUUUAAAUUAACUUAUAACGAUAUGUUAGUUCAACUAACUUUUAACUCGUUUUAUCUUUCUUCUAUAACUAUUUCUCAUAUUUUAAUAUAUUUCUUUGUUGUUUUUUAUAAAAUUAAAUUCUUUAUCUUGAUUGUUUUAUUAGAAUAUUGAAGAGCAUUUUAAAUAUUAAACAUAUUAAUUAUUAAAUAUUACACAUAUCUUUUGGAUUAUUUUUUAAUUAUUACGUAGUUUGAAUUAAAAAUUAAAUUAACGGACUAAUUACUAUUUUAUUAUAUAAUAUUGUGUAAAAUCUUCAUAUACAAAAUACAUAUAAAAAUAUUUUGAAUAUUUAUAAGUAAACGAAAAAUAAUUUGAUUAAUAAUAUUUAGACCCGCUAGUUAAAAUUAGACGACUUCUUCAAAUAAGAAAAAAAAUAUAUUUAAGAAAUGAAUAAAAGAGCUAAAAUACUUAAUUAUUUUUUAAAAACAUAAAAAUAAUUAUUACAUAAUAUUUUUUCUGAAAACUGAAAUUUUAUUUAUAUAAUAAAAUUUAUUAUUUGCUAUAUACUGAAAAUGAAGAAACUUUUUUUAAUUUUUUCAACAUGUAUGAAUUGAAAGGAAAGUUGAAAAUGGAAGGGUUGGUGAAUGUUCGGCUAAAGCAACGAGGACACGAAUACUGCGGUGGGAAAGUAUCGCUUUGUCCAACAGAUUGAGCAAUGAAUAUGUUACAUGUUUUUUCAAUGGAAAAUUUUAACAAUUUUUUUUUAACAAUCUUUUGACAAUAUAUACAUAAUAAUUUAUAAUUAAUUUGUUUUAAAUAUUUUUUUAAAAGUAAAUUUAAACAUACUCAUAAAAUAAUUAUACGUAUUCCAUAUAUCCUGUUAUAAAAAAGUUAUUAAAAAAUCAUAAUCCUUUUUCAAUACAAUGCUUGUUCUACCUUCUCAAACAUAAAUUGCAAAUGCUAUGCCCUCCACUGUUGGAACAUUAUCAUUCCAUACCAUUUUUGUUUCACCUUCGAUUUUCUAAAACUAUACUCACAUAUGAAAUAACUGUCAUUUUUUUUGCACAUGUUCAGGUUAUAAAUUUAAUUACUUUAAAUAAUUUUUUAUUCAGUAAGAGAAUUUGUACUCAAUUUUGUUGUUAAAUUGUUUUAUGAUAAUAACAUUCAAAUAUAAGUCACAUUACUUCAAAAUCAGUUCCGUUUUAAAUUAAUUUUGUUGAUGUUGGUCUAAAUAGAGAAAUAAAAAAAAAUGAGCAGAAAAAAUAACAUAUAGAACACUUUUGUAUCUCUGGACUGAUAGAAAGAUGAAAAUAGACAAAAUAUGUUACAUCAGAAGACAAAUUUAAAAAACAUGGUUAUUAAAAGAAGGUAAAAGGACAAGCUUUUUCUUUAUUUGUCUCCUCAUUUUCUAGUGAUAUACUUUUCUUAUUUUUGAUAAAGCAAUGUUCUAUAUCUAUCUAUCUCUAUGUAUAAUUUUAAAAUAGAUCAUCCAUAAUUAAUUACAUGACAAAAUACUUAGCACAUCAUAUUUACUGAUAUUUCAUCAAGAAUUACAAUGCAAAUGCAAAUAAUUAAAUAAUCCUAAAAGAUGAACUUAAUCAAAUCUUAAAUCAUUCAAAAAAUAUAUAUUUGUAUAUAUAGAUCUCUAUAAAUUAAAUCUAAGAUGAAUAGUCAGUAUUUACAUGUCAUAAUAGAUAUUUUAAUAUUUAUUUAUAUAUGUAUUAAAUAUAAGUAUAGUAUGUAUUAUUAGUAAAAUAUUAAAAUUAAAAUUUAAUUUAUAUUUUGUUAAGUUAAAUUUAUUAACAUUAAAAUUAAUUUAUAUUUUAUUAGGUUAAAAUUAAUUAAAUUUAAAUUAUAAUUUAUAUUAUAUUUUAUAUAUUUUUUAUAAUUUUAUUUUAAAAAUUUAUAAUUUCUUUUUUUUUAAUAUUUGUAGAUAUUUAGUUUAUAUUAUAUUUUAUAUAUUUCUUUUAUAAUUUUAUUUUAAAAUUUCAUAUUUUUUUUUAAAUAUUUGUAGAUAUUUACUGAGGUCAAUUUCAAGAUAUUUACAUAUAUUUUUUAAAUGAGUAUUUAACCUGCAAAAGAUAACUCUAUAUUUUUUCAGGUCAAAUAAUGGAUAAGUAUUGUAGUUGGUGUCUAAUAUGAUCUAUUGUAAAAUUUGACUUAUUAUUUUUUAGUAUGCUACUAGUUAACUAACCUAUAUGCAAUAAUUAAUUAUUUUAUUAUUUUGUAGAUGUAGGUAAUUGAUUGAGCAGUUAUAGAAAGAGAAUGCUCCAGUAGAAAACAAUUUUAGACUUAGAAGAAAUUGUCUUGGAAUUAACUAACAAAUCCAUUAAGGGAGUACUGAACAAUAACAUAAUUAAAUACAAACAGAAGGCAUUUUGAAAAUGAUCUCUAAUGGGACUAAAAUUAGUGGCAACACAUUAAUGAUGAUUUCAUAAUUCAACACACCUUACUUAAUUAUAAUUAAGUACCUUAAUGAACAUCAAUAUUAUUGAUACGCCAUAUUUAACCACAACCAAUCGAGUGUCAUAGCUACUUCAAUAGCUUCAUUACCUCAGCCUCAAGAAAACUAUCGUAACCACAUAACCAAGUUGAAAAAUGAAAAGUUUAAAACUACGUCAUAUUAGCUACCAAUGUGGGAUUCAAUAAGAUCAUCUCAUAUUCUGUUAUAUCAUGUGUUGUUUAAGUUAUUUGCUGAUUUUUUUUUUAAUUUUUCUUUUGCUUGGGGAUAUUAUUGAUUGUUUGAGACUACGUCAAAUGUGACAAAUGCAAGUGGUCUAAAAUUGUUUCUUAAACCUAACAAUUUAUUUCCUUCAGGGCAAUGUCAAUGCUUUGUGUUGCUUGACUUGCAAAAUGGGUUAUGUAGUAUCUUCAGGCAAGAAAAAUGUGCAUAGAAAAAAAAAAAAUGAAGAUGUUAAGUGUAAGGAAAAUGAUGCUUGGAUAUUAAUAUCUUAUUAUGCAUCUAGAGGAAGACGGUACUGGAGAUAGGGAUUGAAAACAAAGGGAUAUUGAUAGUACAAGAAACAUGAUUACAUAAAUCUGUGAAGUUUAAAGAGAUAUUCUUCCUUCUGUUUUCUUUUUUUCUUAAUGAUUAUAGAAUACUAUAAAGAUUUAAUUUACUUUCAUGUUGGUUUCAUGAACUGUCUUGAAUUCUUGUUCUCUUACCAAACUUAUCGAAUUUAAUCCUUAAUUAUUACAAGUAAUUCUAGAAUACCAUUAGAAAUGCAAAAACUAAUGUGAGUGGAAGAUAAGGCUUAAGAAAAAUCCAACCUUCCACUUUUUCGUAACAAUUUCAAGUCCUAAAAACUCAUGCUAAUAAUUAACCAUACCCAAAACACCGAUUUACCUCUCAUUCUAAUCAGAAGCAUCAAAACAGGUUUUUGGUUUGUGCAUUUAUACGCAGAAGCGAGUCAGAGUUUUGGAGGAGAUAAAAGUUUGAGGUCAUUUUUAUUUUUCUUGAAACUAGGUCACUAUUUUGCCAAUGAAGUGAAGAGAGAGAUGACAAAGAGGAUUAGGAAUACCAAACUACAAACUAGAGAUCAGUUGAAGAAAAAAAAGCAGAAGAAAAGACCCUUAAUAUGAAAUAACACUUCCUGUACAUGACAAGAAGAAAGAACUUAUCCCAUAAGGCUAAACCUAUAAACUUUUAUUCCAACAAAAAGCAGAGUAUCCUCUGCUUCUGCCUGUGCUCUGUUCCCAGCCUGCAUGAGUCAGCAGAAACGGAAACUGGAAGAAUCUCCGACUUGAGAAGUGGUGGUUGACCUUGUAUACUUGUUUGACGAAGAUGAAGAUUGUGACAAGUCACCAGACCUUCUCCUCAGCAUCUGUCUCAUCCCAUCAGCCACUCUAACCGCAGGGUUUGAUUUGAACUUGCGGCAGAAUGACAUGUGAGCCUUGACAGCUUCAUCCAUAGCCGGUGACGCCUUUUUCUCUCCAUAGCUCACUUCAUCUCUCACUGCUUCGGAGCACAACCCACAUAACCAUUUUCCAUCAAACUUGGACUUUACUUGGGUGAUGUAAUCUUGGGUGCAAUCCUCCUUCAAGCCACAACACUCGCACUUCACUGACUCAAUCUCCAUCUCUUUAUAAUACCUCUUUUUCGAACUCGUUGCUUUUUGUAAGGAUGAGAAUCUUUCUUUCUCCUUAAGACAUGCAAGAAGGAGCACAAUGAUUGAGGUGGUCUUGUUUAUUUACUAGCGUGUAGCAUGGUUUUGUUGGUUGAAGGACUAGGAAGUGGGUGUUGUUGUGAAACGAGUGGCUUUAUGGUGUUUGAGAAAGAGAGAGAGAGAGAGAGAGAGAGAGAGUUUUUAAGUUUAAGAUGGUGAAAUGCCAUAAUUUCCUCCAUGUUCUAAGGGACAUGGGCAGUGGAAAAUGUGACAAGGCUGGUCGGAGGGACCUUUGCUCUGCCCUUUUCUAGCAUUUAAUAUUUUAAUUCUACUACCCUUAAAUCAAACUACCCAAAAUGUAAAAUAAGUGGGACAAAGAGGUGGCUACCCUUAACAGUUAUAGUAUCUCUAUAUUAUAAUCUUCUAUUGCAUUUUUACUAACUUCUUACUCCUUCUUUCUAAUUUUUUAUUGUUUGCCCUGUUGUCCCACUUCAAUAUUUUAUCCUAAUGCAUCAAUAAUUUUUUCUUACUAAUUAUUAUACAAGAAAUCUCUUCGACUUUAACAAUGAGUUAGACCGCAGUAUUUUAAUAUGAUUCAAUUUGGAAUACCCUGCCAUAAAAGCCCAACUAUCAUUCUCUUCAAAUAUGUACAAAGUACUACUGUUUUAUGGUUUAAACAAUUUCUUGUAAUGAUAAAAGUGGUUAUCAUUUAUAAAUAUGUGAAAGUUAAGGAGGGGAAGUUAGUCUGGAAUUGUUUCUGUCUAGUGAUCGGAGGACUCGUCGAAUUAGAAGAUUAUUAUUUGCUGGGCCACCAAUAUGUUUGCUGAAUGAUAAAAAGUUAACUGUGUUUAAAAGGUUCAAUCAGAAGUCAGUUUUUUUGGAGUGAUUUAAAAGGAUCUAGAAACUUGGGAGAGUUCUUGCAUGAGUAGAAACUCCGUAAUGACUUCCCACUUCAGUGUUAUCAUUCUCUUCACUAUUUUUUUAUUCUAAAUGUUCAUCUGUAAUUAACUCUUAUUUUCACGAGGAUAAAUAAUUUUUUAGUGUUUAAAUAUGACUAAAAGUAUAGAUAAUCAACUGUGAAACCUGAAACAGUAAGAAAGAAGGUAAAAGGAGUGUAACAUAUUAAGAUUUUUAACUCGUCUUUUAAGGAAUUAGAAUGUGAACGAUAUUAAGAUGUGUUGAAGAUAUCAUGGUAAAAGAAAACUAUAUUGAGUUUAAUUUUAAAAAGUAAAAUACUGAACUUAUAAGUUCAUAAGUCUUAGUUUUUAUAGCAUGCAAUUCCUUGUUUCUUUUGUUCCUUGGGUUGUUAGAGAAGAAAUAAGGAAUAGAAAAUUGAGAGAAACUCAAAGCACAUGACAGGGUAAAGCUACAUUAAUUUGCUAAUCCAAUUAUGAAUAUUUUUUAGUGCAAAAUGUCAAGGUUUCCUCCCACAAUGGCCAUGUGCUUUGCGCCAAUAGCCUUUGUUGAGCAAGCUUCAGUCACCAUCCUAACUCACAAAACAAAUUUUAUCAAAUCUCUCACAACUUUUUCCAUGUUUAUGUACAGUCCUUAUCUCAAUUUCCUUAUAUUGCUCUCAUAUAUAUUACCAUAACAUAUAAUUUAAUAUAAUCAUCUCCAACAAAAGUGUGAGCAAAUAUACACAAAGCAAAAACAAGUGAAAUUGUAACAUAGAUGCAUGCCAUAAAAAAGAGAGUUAAAAUGAAUGUGGACUGAUUGGGCACCUUACCUUAUUAUUUUUUUGUUUAGAGAAAAAAUCUCUCACAAAAAAGUGUGGGAAUAUAAUAUAAAGAUGAAAAGGAAAUGCAAUAGAAGUAAGUUACAAAACUAUACUUUCAUUACAGUCAUAAUUCUCUUUAAAAUUACUUGACAAAAGAAUGUGACAAAUAACAAAUUGACGACUUGACUACACAUUGCCAGAUUUUUCCAAGCUGUUCAAAGUUCCAAUAAUACUGCUCUGCUCUCUCCCUAAAAAACCAUUUCUUUUCCUUUUUUUCUCUUUCACAGAGACAAAGCAUCUUCAUAAUUAAUUACACGCUUCUCAAAAACUGCAUGCCAAAAAAUUUCAAUUGCUUUUAUAGGUAUCCAUUAAUAUGACGCCAGUGUGACCAUAUCCUAGCAUCAAUGAAAAAGAAGUAUCCUAUUAUAUUUUCCCUCAACUUUAAUCUUUGUAUUUUAUAUAUCAAUGUUGUAUUUGAUGCAAUUUGACAUGAAAAUAAAUAUGGACUUCUUCUCAUAAUCCCGACACACGGAAGAUCACAAUUGGUCAGUAAUUACUCAUGAGCUCAUCAGAACCCUGAAUUGAUUAAAUUUGCCGAAAGAAAGUCAAAGUCAGAGUCAAAAUGAAACAUGGAACGUGCAUCUUCUGUUGAAACUUUGAACUCCCUUUUCCAGCGACUCGUUUCUUAGAAUUUGGACAUUAAAUCUUUUAUAUUAAUUAAUAGUUUACGUAUAACCAUAAACCUAGCUAUCAGGAUGAAAUCUCGAAUGUGAAUUUACAGAAGAGCAUUUCUGUGUGUUCAACAAAAUUUAAGUUAAGUGUAAUUAUGGAAAUAGUAUUAUAUUUAUAUUUGCACAUGUGUUACUUGCUCUGAAUUUGUAUAUCUUGAGUAUAUCAGUAUACAUUGCUAUACCGGACCAGUUAAACCCAUCUACAAAGGUAGCUUUCAGGCUUUAAUGUGAUGGUUUUGACAUUGAAAGGAAAGGGAUGGUGAAAUGGAAGGGGUUGAAAAGCUGUUCUUCUCUUGGGACCAGUGAUCUGAUUUUGAAGGGCCUAUUUAGAUCAUUAUUAAGCAGCGGAAAAUAAAGUUAGUUAGGUUGAUUACAUGAGAAGAAUCAUAAUUGAGUGGGCUAACUUGCCAACAAUAAUUGCAGAAAUUUGGUAAUAAUUUUAGGACCACCGAUCUUACUGAUCAAAGCCUAAAACGGAACCAUCGAUUUCUGUGAUCAAAAUAGCGACUCUACUCGUGCCACUGUUAAUACAUAGAUUGAACCCUUGUUAAUAUGCUUAAUUAGGAAUCAAAACCCUCACAAGACACUUAAGAAAUAGUUGUUCAUCAAUUGUUCUGGUUGAUGACAGUGAAAGUGUAGUAUGAGCAUUGAUGUCAUUUCAAGAGGAAUUUUUACGUAUAAACAUGAUUGAUGUGGCAGUUUGAGUUUGAGAAGAGAAAAAUGUUAGACAUGUUAAAAUCUGCAUAGAGAUUGGGUGUGUGAUCAGGUGAAGAAGUUAGCAGUUUCAUUUAUCCAAAACAUGGUGUAUUAUAUCAUUCAUUCAUAUCAGAAAGUUUAUGAUAUGAACAUGCAUGAAGAAGAUGUGUAACAUAAUUUCUUCUUUUAUGCAAUAGAUAUUCAAAGCUUAUCCAGGGAGUCACCUUAUUUAGAGUUCAUACCUAAUUCAUGUUAUUCUGCUCGCCAUGUGUAUAAAACUCGUCAGAUCACUCAUAUGCGUACAGUGACGGAUGAGUCUUUGAGAAAAUCAUAUUCUUUGUUAUAGAAUUUAAACGCAUGUUAUAUAUUAUCCAUUAGAGUCCUUCGUUGUCGUUUCAUUUUAAAUUUCUGCGGCUAUGCUUGUGCCGCAUUCAUCCACCAUACAGCAUUAUUCCUUCUGAAAAUCCAACCAGAUUUUUUUUAUCAUACUUUUUGUUUCUUUGUGCGCUGCUGUCAAGUCUCUUGUCCCUUAUAAUAUUACAACAAUACUGUGAAUCUAAUCCUUCAUGCAAAAUGCAAAAGCUCAAAACAAAAAGAAUCUUACCCGUCAACUCCCUUAAGCCUCAUUAAUUAUGUUUGUCUUGUACUUAUAUAUGUACAAAACAUAUAUAUUUGAACUAGUUUUCACAGAAAAGUUCUAAGAAAAAAUUAGAAAAGUCACGUAUGAAAAUUUUAAUAAUUUAUGGAAAUUAUAUAUUUUUUUAAAAUUCUUAUAGAAAAUUUGUAUAUAUAUAUAUGUGUGUGUGAGUAGUUGAUGGGUCAAUGGUUUCUCACAUGCAUAGCUUGGUUGGAGUUAUGUUAAGUAUUAGUUGGAAGUGUUAAAAAAAUUUAAUGGUGUUCACAUGGCAACCCACAUGGCACUUAGCUUCCUAAUGUGGAUUCUUUCUUUUUCUUUUGUUUUCUUUCAAUCCAACCACUAUCAAUCAUCUUGGAAUUGGUAACCUACUUUUUAGUCUUCACACUAGAAAGUUAUAUUGAGAGACUAUUACAAACACCACCAAAAUAGAUAUAACUUUCAUACAUAGGUCAUAACCACAAAAGUCUAAAUCAUUAAUCAUUAUGCUUUAAUUUAAUCUCUCUCCAUUAUCAUUAUUAGCGGUGUCAUUGUUUCUCCAAAAUUACAACGGCAGCAACCACCACCAAUUAUAAAACUCUAAUGGUGCAUGCAUGCAUGUAAGAAAGAUGUAUGAUAUUUAUAUUUAUUUCCAAACUAAUAAAAUUUGAGUUUUGAGAGUCAUCUUUACCAUUUUUUGUUUUUAGUUCUUUUUAGAAGUGUAAAUUUUGAUUUUAAUUUAAUUUUCUUUUAAAUUUUAAAUGAAUCAUAAUUAUCUUGUGUAUGGAUUAUAUCACCACAUUAGUGUACGUAGUAUUUAAAAUAGUUAUUUAAUCUUUUUAUUUAGCACACAGAAGUAAUUAACAAGUCAGUCCUAUAUAAUUAUAUAAUAGUUAUAUAACCUAUUUAAGAAACAUUGAAAUAUGAAUGGAAUGCUGUAUGGCAGAAACCAAAAGCCUUAAAAGAAUUGGGUGUCAUAAUCUUCUUACUGACAAAUAUAUUUAUUGAAGCAAUAGCUUCGUGGAAUUGAGAAUAUAAUCCAAAGAUCUUUAAGACAUUAUUGGGUUCCGCAAGUGUGUAUCUCAGCUACACUUUAUUAUGUGGGGCAUUAUGUAUACCCAAAAGAUAAAUCACAAUAAACAAGACCAUGAUCAUGUAUGAUGAAACACUGGUCUCAACAUAUUUUCCUUUUCUUAAUUGCUAAUGGGGCAUCCAUUUUCAUACCUACGAGGACGUUCCUAAUUAUACCAACAUUGAUCAUUUUGUCUCAAAACAGGUAUAUUUCAAGUUGAGUCCUCUUGUCUCAAAAGCUUUUCGGGUAUUGUUAGUCAUGCCAAGAAUCUCAACUGCCAAUUCUAUCCAAAAUUCUUUUACGACUGAAGCAAGAAAUGGAAAUAGAGAAAGAAAUACAGCCAACAAUAAAUAUUUAUCGAUAUUUAUUGCUUGUUAGAGUUAUGAAGUCACUGUUUAUCAAAUUAUCAAUUGAUAUUUAAUUUAAAAAUGUAUUAGAAGAUUUCAUAUUAACUAAAAGGAAAAUGAUACAAUAUUCAUGACUAGUUUUAUUGCAUGGCUGGAAAAGAGACGUUAAUGACUACAUAAAAUGCAAGCAAGUUCAUAUUGUUUGAUGGUGUAGAAUUAUUAUGUGCAGCAAAAGCCAUAUCGCAACUUGGCAAGAAUAUGGUUUGUGUUGAGCUGGAAUGGGAUGCUGAUUAAAUUUAUUGAAUUAAGAACUGUACUAUGAUCUGUUUGACGUGACAGGAACAUAACAGGUAACACGUAUUUAUAAGAUUCAGUGAGAAAAAUUAUACAUAAAUACAUAGCAGAUCACUGAUUUUGAAGUUUGAAGCAAUAGGUGAGGUGAGUGUGUGAAUCUAACAGUUAAAGUUCCUGAUUUAGCAGAGCAGCAUGCGUGAUAAAUAAACAAUGUCUGAUGAACAAUAAUGAUUAGUGUGAAUGGGUGAAGCAAUAAGGUUGUUUGAGAGAAGAAGCAGGAACACUAGUCCCAUUCCCGGGGAACCCUGUCCUCAUGUUACUCAUUCAUGUUUCUGAGAACUGAAUUCAUUAUGGUUCCAAAGGUUUGAUUGUUAAGGAAAAACUUAUUUUAACAAUUUAUUGAGAUUGAUUUAUUUUAAAUAUUUUUUUAAACACAAAUUUAAAUAGACUAAUAAAAUAAGAAUAAUGAUAUUUAAACAAUAUUUUUUUAUAAUAUUUGAACAUUGAUUACGUGUCAAUCUGUGAUUAGUUAAAAAUUAUUUCACAAUAAUGUUUAUCAUUAUUAUUAUUGAUUAUAGAAUAACUUUUGACAAAUCACAUAUUGACAUGUAAUCAAUGUUUAAAUAUUGUCAAAAAAAAUUAUCUAAAUAUCAUUCUCUAUAAAAUAAUAAUAAUGCAUGUUUUAUUAUAAAAAAUUGGUUAAAAAAAUUGUCAAAAUAUAUUAUUAAAUUGAUAAUACUAAGUGUUAUGACUCAGAAACAGUAGAUUGUGACAAAGCAUGGUGUGACCCACCAUGUGCACCAUGACUGUAACAUCCACCACCUGCCACAUGUGAAGCCGCCAUAACCGAAGCUGCUGUGCUUUAAUAUCGCUUUCUUCCCAUUCAGAUUGUCUUAUUAAUGUUUUAGAUAUUUCUCGUAAGCAUCACUAAUCUUUUACUAUGUUAUUGUUUUCAGGACCAAAUUCAGUGCCGUAUUCUUUUCUUUGCGAAAAGACAUCAAUACCACACCUGGAUCAGGUACAAUAGAAUUAAUUAAUCUCAUAUAUACCCAAAAAAAAUAAUUAUAAUAUUAAAAAGUAGACCUUAAUUUAAUAUGAAGAAUUAAUUUUAUAAACUUGAAUUAAGCUAAAAAGUUUACUCUCUCUUUAAGAGCAUUGGAACGAAAUGUUCUUUAUUUACGAGUUCAGACAAAUUUGUGGAAACAAAAAAGAUGGGUUUUAUUUAGACUUUUUUGUAUAAACUUCUUAAUAUUGAUCAGAAAAAAAAAUUAAAAUAGUAAGAAAUGGGUUAUCGUACUUAACUUUUGACAAAUAAUAUAUAUUUCUUCUAAAAACUACAUAGCUUGAUUUUAGACUUCUAAAAAAUUUCAGCAAAUAAUAUUUAUCAAAUAAUUUAUGUAAUAUCUUGAAGUUUCUUUACGUUCCUUUUCCAAAUUAGAAGGAAAAAUACAUUAUUUAUUUUAAUAAUAUAUAAUUUACUAUGCUACUACAUAACUCCUUCUCGCUGUACCUUAUCUUCUUACCUUCCAGAACUUACAAACACUGUCUAUUUUAACAGUGUGUCAUUCAAUAAUUUAUUCGUUUAAUAACUUUUUUAUUCCAUUUCUGUGCUGCUAUCUUAUCUCAUCUUAUUCAUUCUAGAUCUUUCAAAGGAAUCAUUAUAAUUUGCUUUUGGAUAUGUGAUGACGAAGGAACACCAGAUGGGAAAAUGGUAAGAAAACCAUUCAACAUUCAAUGAAUUUGGAAUUUUUUUUUUCGUAAAAUCCGCUAUACUAUCAUUGCAAAAAAAAAGGUUGAGUUUUUGCAUCCUUCAACAACAUCACGUUUUCAUAUCUUUCACCGAAAUAAAAAUGUUCUGCGACGUGUGUUCCUUAUUUUUAAUACUGAAUAAACAUUUCAAUUUAUCUCUAUAGUAAAUAAACUUUAAUUAAAAUGUCUUAGAGAAUUGAAAAGAACUACAGGUCAUCAUUUGAUUAAAAUCUUAAUAAAACAUACAUAUAAUUAAACAUAAAUUCUUUGAACAUGAUCAUCUAGUUACAAUUACACACUGUUGUACAUAAUAUAUUUAUCAUUUUUUUUAUAAUAACUGACGUAAAAGUCAUUAAAGGUUAAUCAAUCAUGUAAACUUUAAUACUGACAUAUAUUAACAAAAGAUUGUCUAAUAAAAAGUGACAUAAAUGGGCACCCAGAAUGAUCCCAACGUCCACCCAACAACCCUACUGCAAGUUAUUAAAAGAAAACCAUAAAAAAAUUAAGAGCAAAAUCGCGUCUAACAGUUAGGAUGGUAAAAAAAAUCCCUAUCCACGUAUAUCUAUAAAUAAAAUUGCAAAAAAUAGUCAAUACUUACAAAUAUUUAUUAUUCGCAUAUAAUGGAUAUUCAAGCUUAUAAACGAAUUUGAGUACAGAUAUUAUAUUAUUUAUAUCUAUAAAUAAAUAAAAAUAAAAAUAAAAAUUAUAUUUUAUUAAGUUAAAUUCAAUUAUAAUUAAAUUAAAUUUAUAUUUUAUCUAGUUUAAUUUAACUAAAAUUAAAUUUUUAAUUUAAUUUAUUUUAUAUAUUUUUGUAAUUUUAUUUAAAUUUUAUUUUAAAAAUUUACAAUUUUUUUUUAAAAUAUUUGAGUGUAUCUGCAUAUUUUGAAAUAUUUAUGAAUAUUUUUUAAACGGAUAAUUUUUUGUUUUUUUAAAUCUGGUUGGCGAUCCAUGUGGUUGCUAUCCCUAUUAACUAUGUUGUUGGAAUGUUUGAUAAAAAAGAGUGACGUAUGUAUGAGCACCCAUAUAAAGUACACGUACGUAGCUUAUCACCUUCAGUCCAGUACAUCUUCAUUCCCUCGCCUUUUCCGACUUUUAUUAUUACGAUCUAUUAAGACAUGAAGCAUAAAUAAAACAUUGACUCACUCUUCCUUACUUUGAAAUCUUCACAAAAGAAUAAAAAUUGAGAAUCCUGAAUAUAAGUAGACAAUUACAGACGAAUAUUUUAUGUCUAGAACUAUAUGAAAUCACUAGUCCUACAUUUUACUAUAGAUGAGAAUGUUGAACAUAAGCACCUCGGCAAAAUUACUUAACCUUUAAGCAGUACAUGGACCCAAUGAAUCUUCUUUUUGCUUGAAGAUAACAAGAAGUAUAAGUUGCCUGUUCUCUGAUUUAAGUAUAACAGCUUAAAGAAACACGUAAGCUGCCUAAUGGCGAUUCCCAUUAUCGAAUCACGAUUAUUGGCUAAUAAAUACAGAGCCCCCGAGUUCUUACAAAGAAGUAAAAGGGUGCAUGAUUAAACAAAAAGGAGAAAAGUACACUACAAAAGAACCCCGUGAAUGCGUUCAGAGUUCUGAUGAGACUGACACGCUGUCGUUGAUGGUUAGCACUAUCUUUAGUCACUACGAUCAUAUUGUCCAGAAGCUUUUUUCUCCACAAAAUCAAACAGUUUUGAUUUUAACUUGACUUCGGUGUCAUGGUAAAACCCAUGGUAGAAACUUGAGCAUCGUAUAUACAUAUACUAUUUUUUUCUUAAGUGUAAGUGACAUCUGUUGAACUUGCAAACAAUGAGAGCUAUAGCUUGACAAAGACAUACAAGUCCCUGAAAAGCCAAGGACAAACAACCAGAAUCAAUGACACUUCAUCUCAAUAUCGGAAUCGUCAUCUGGAUUCCCAUCAGGAUUGUUCCCAGGGAGAAGGCCAAGAAGAGGUAGAGGCAAUAAUGAGCUAAGAUUGCAAAGGAUUAUCAGAGGUGCCAAGUUAUCAAAUUUGUCCUUGGUGAUUCCAAAUAGUUGAGUCAAGCCCGCCCCUAACAAUCCCCCAACAACACUCCCUCCAUUAGAUACAGACAUGAGAGUUGCGAAAAGAGUUGCUUCCAUUCCUUCAGGACAUAAUCUUGCUGCUAGCACAAGAACGGGCAUGAAAGAAGCCUGAAAUAAAUCAGUGAUCAGAUGCAAGACAAAUUUUGCUACAACAGAUAAUACACAAAUAGUUGAGUGGUAUAACCAAAGCACACGAAACUUAUCCACGUGGUGCGCGUUAGUACUGCAUAUUUCAUGGUGUUUAUAGACAUUUAAUUAUGUCGUCAAUCAUAAAAAAGAUCAACUUUAACUUAUUAUUAUCAAAACUACAACAAAAGGUAUAUUCCUCCUUUAAAUUUACUUCUCCAUAAGAAAGGUGUGAAUCUUCAAAAACAAGUCGGAAGAAUUCCUUUCUGAUCACAAAAAGGAAGAAACAAUUUGAACUUCAAAUCCAUGGAAACCAUGUAUUUCUACAAGAGUGCCAAUAACAAGCUCUACAACACACUUUAUAAUUGGCUAAUAUUGAUUGAAAACUACAAAGUCAGGAGAAAAAAAUAAGUAGUGAGACCCCACCAAAAUUUAUGAAUUGCCAUAAAAUUUAAUCAAUUGUCUGCUGGAUUUUUGGUGUUGUGCCUUCAAAAUACAGUGAUUUUGAUAAUUUAAAAUACAUUAAAAACUUCUCUAAUAUAUCAAAAUCAAUGUAUUUUGAAGACACAAUAGAAGGACAACACCAAAAUCUUCACUGGAGAAUUUGGACUCAGAUAAAUAGUCUACAAAGAAAGGUCCUCUUUUUAUGAGUGGCUAGUAAACUAUACAACUAAGAUUUUCAUCAUAAAUACCCAUUAGUUAGUCAUGAUAGCAAUUACCUAGGUUAGGUAGUCAAAGAAAUACAUGCGGUUAUGUUAGAAAGAAGGGAACUUGACCAGCAACUAUAUUGAUAGAUACCCAAAAGUUAGUUCAGUUAGUAAAUAUAGUCAGGUUCGGGUCCCCCCGCCCCCCAUAAGGGUAGGUAUAUGUUACCAGUAGCUGCCUACCACUUGGAAUCCUAAGCAACUUCAGCUGUCAUUGCUAUAUUCACCAUGGGGCCAGGGUCAAUGCUUGGGAGGUGGGGGCGAAACGUAUUGAUAGAUACUUAUGAUAGCCAUUAAUUUGUUAUGCUAGUAAUUAGUUAGAAAGAAAUACAAGGGUUUGUGCGUUAGGAAAAAGGGGAAUGGGUCUACAACUAUUAGAGGCCCAUUAAAUGUGGGUUUAUGCUAUCAAACCAGUAGCUGCCUAUAAAUUGGGAUAACUGUAAACAGGUUAGGGGACUUGUGAUUGAGAAAGUAGUCCGAAGAGUGUAUACAGCACUCUGAGAUAUCUGGAAUCAGGUAUCAUAGGUUUACCUUACUAAUUUCAACCAAUAAAAAACCCAUUAUUUCUCACUGUUAUGAUUUCAGUUCUAUAAACAGGUAUUAAAGCUUUCAAUCUUGGACUUGUGGAGGUUGUGAAAACGAUUCCAAGAUUUGAUGGGAAGGGUGGUACCUUUGGUAGUUGAUCAAUUUAGAACAUUGGUGGAACUUGAAGUGCGAGAGGAUAACCGACCUUGGAUUUAGAUGACAAUGAGAGGAGACACUCUUGACUGUAUGAUUUGCUGGAGUAGCAACCAAAUUGUCACAUUUCCUACCACUGAUAAGGUUGUGUUAUAAGCUUUUCAACCAAAGAUUUGAGUUUGUCUUCAAGAUUCAGAGGAAGAAGAUAAAAUAAGCAAUGAUGAAUUUCCAUCAAUCAAGAGCCAAGAAAAGAAUCAAUGUGGCAAAGAAGAAUCAAAUUUGGUGAAUGGACCAAGAAAAGAAUAAAAAACAGCAAGAAAAGAAGAAUUGGAGGGACAAAAAGGGGUUGGAAACUGAGGAAAUCUGUGUGAGCAACCGCCACUACAAGAAACACAAGAAUCAUAUGCAGUCACGGAAGGAGUAUGGUGAAGAAUUGGAAUUCUGGAGGAACUCAGAAAGAAAUGGUUUCUUUUCAAAAUUAAUGCAAUGAAAUGCUGAAACAGAAAACAGGAAGCCACAGGAACUGAAUUGUUCCUUGUUCACAUGAACAAGAACCAGUAAAAUAAGGUGGAAGAACUUCAUAACCUCUACAGCAGCAACUGGAAACACUGCUUCACGGUCAAAAAGGCCAUAGAAUAAAAGAAUUGACUCUCACAUAUUUGUGUUUGUCCCAGGUUAAUUAAACAUUAGUUUGGGAUGAAAUGGUCUGGUUGGCUUGGAGACCAUGCUUCUUAAAUCAGUUGAAAUACCAGUAGGACUUUGUUUCAGCAGUCACAAGCUGUUUACCUAAGGACAAUGUGAAACUUUAGGGGGAGAACGGGCCAAUUUGUGAUACGCAUGUGAAACUUUAAUGUGGUACGCAUUAGUUAGUUAGUUAGCCAAAAGUACAAGCAAGGGGAACGGGCCAACAAUUUAUUAGACCCAUUAAGGGUGGGUUUAUGUCAGUAGACCAAUAAUUUCUUAUAGAUAGGAAUAACUAAAAAAUCAUGUAAUGCUUCCUAGGGGUUUAUCCUGCAUUAGUUAGUUAGUUAGUCAAAAGUACAAGCAAGUGGAACAGGCCAACAAUUCAUUAGACCCAUUAAGGAUGGGUUUAUGUCAGUAGACCAAUAAUUUCUUAUAGAUAGGAAUAACUAAAGAUAGUUUAGGUGAUCUGAUAUUGGCAAAGCCUGUAAGGACUGGAUGCAGACCUCUCAUAAUAUCUGGAAUCAUGUAAUGCUUCCUAGGGGUUUAUCCCUAUUUUCUUUCAGUAGAAGACCAGUUCUUUCUUACUGCUGUGCUAUCAGUUCUUUCUCACGGCUGUCGUACCAGUUUCUAUCAGAUAUCCAUUAGUUAGUUGUGUGAGUAGGAUAGACAUUCAAUGUAAUGCAUGGGGUUGUAUUAAAACAAGAGAAACGGUCUUGUAACUGUUUAGACCCAUUAAAGGUGGGCAUAUGUUAGCAGAUUAGUAGCCGCCUAAAGAUAUUAAGUGGGGUUGAGAAGAGAUAUUAAUAUGGUUAAAUAUAAUUAGGUUUCAGAAGAAGCCUAGAUCUCUCAAAUAUCCAGGAAAUUCUUCGUAGAAAUGCACUCAAUCAAUAAAAACUUCCGAUCAACAGUUAGGACAAAAAUUAGACUAGUGCAUCAUGUAAAUCAUUAGACUGAUGUUCCGCAGAACCAAAAUAAAACACAUGAGACUCUCUUGAUCUACAGAGGGGACGACAGUAGCGAUGUGCAGACAAACAGAGGAUGAAGAGUGCCACAAUGAACAGUUUGCACAAUGAACAACAAUGCCUGAAUGAAAAGUAUAGCAGUGGACAAUGUCAGAAAUUUGACCUGAAGAGUAGACUGGCAGAGCAGAAUCAAACUCACUCAAAUACCAUAUUGAAGACUAAAGAUUUUAGAAACAAAUGCUUUACUUAGGAAGCACCCAACAACCUCACCAUAUAGAUUCAGAGUGACAUUACAUUUAAGAAAAAUAAAAAUAAAUUCAACAUCUAAGAAUAAUGAUAAGUAACUAACAGAUAAACUUUCUUAGACUUUAAUUACCAAGAAACCAUAAUGGUAUUAACGUUUCCAAAUGCAAAGAUGUAAUAUAAUUGUACAAUUAAUCCCUCAAGAGCUACUUCGAAAAGACUGCUAACAGCUAGUGCUUUAGGCCCUUUUAACUGCUUUUAGAAGUUACUAGUGCAUUUGCAUUGUAAGCAAAAACAAUAACUUCCCAUCUAACAUGAGCAAAUAAUAGAAGCUUCAAAAGUAGCAACAAUAGCAGACUUAAAUUUACCAUGGAAAAUUUAAUAUUAUAGUGAGAAACUAAUAGACUCUAAUAGAAAGGUGGAAAAUAUAAAUAGUUUUUAUGCUUGAAUAGCGAAAGAUAAAUGAAGUACAAGAAAACUCGUUUUCAGUAAACACAAUAACCUGAUUAAUAACUACAGCAAAAACGAUAUUUUGUCGGGAGCCAGUAGUAUAUAACUAAUGAAUAGAAGAAUAAAAUGAUAACCUGACUCAAAACAGUGAGAAUUAAUGAAUCACCAAUUGCAAACCACUCAUCACUAAUGCCAAAUUUCCGGUUUAGUCCAGUAACAAGGAAAACCUGAGAAUAAAAACAUAAAGAUGUUUAGAACAGUCAUGUCACAUUAAAAAUAUAUACAUUUAACUGAACUAUACAAUUAACCUGAGUCAUCCCAAGUGUUGAACCUAAAAGGGUAGUUGCAAGAAAUAUUUUCCGUAAAGGGACAUUCUUCAAAAAUCCAUUAUAAAUGCCAACACCAAGCAGAGACGCAACUGAGGUAACAAGCUUGACACGUCCCAAAAACUCCGGGGUAAAGCCAAGAGAAUUUGUCCUGAAAUGGAUAAGGGAUCAUUUAAAAUUGAAGUAAGAGAAUACCAAGAGCACAGGAAACUCUUCACAGAUAAAAGAAAAUAAUGAUCAUAUUAACAGUGAACAUACGUAAAGUAGAACAUCGCAGAGUCAGACUGCGGUGUUGCUUGCCACAAGAAAAUAAACAGAGUGGGAAGAAAAACACUACGCUGUCGCACAGAACCCCACAGCUGAAUAAUGCUCUGUUUUGAACUUUCCAAAAACUCUGUCCCGGCAAAAAGAAGAUUUGGCCCCGUAGCUGCACCGAGCAUUGGUUGUUCUUUUACAAGAAUGGCAACCACAGAUGUUAUCAACGGAAGCAAUGAUGUGACCCCAAAAACAAACCUGCAACAGUAUAUAGUCAUUGGAGUUUAGAAGAACAUUAAAAAGAUAAAAAAGAAAUACUGCUAUCAGAAAUCAUAAGUAUCUUGGUUCACACACUUCUUUCAGUACCUGACUCCAUAUGCAUCCAGUAAAGACCCACUGAAAUACGAGCUCACAAUUCCACCAAAGGCCGAAGAACCCCAACAUAAAGACUGAAGAGAUCCCGAGGUGCUUUGUGACUCACCACGUGCCCUCUCCACAACCAUUGAAUCUACAACCUAAAGCACAUAUCAGUGUCUGAAAUAGUUCUCUGAACAAUUUCAAUCUACAGACGACAGAAAACUACAGGUAUAAUGUCAGAGGCAUAUAAAAUUCAAAAACACAAAAUAAGGUGAGUUUGCAUUCAUGCACUGAGAACUGUGAUGGAAAAGGCAAAGCUGAAAAAGGACUAAAAUAUAUAUAGCAGUAAGGUAUCAAUUUAAUACCUUAGUGCAAUAUGAAAACCUAAAUACCAGAUUAUAGAAGGAGUUAACUAAUUAAAAUUUAAAAUAUAGUACAUCAUAAACUAAUAAAAUCAUAUUAAAGCAUGAAUCACAACACGAGGUGAUUGUAAGCAUGGAUAAAAUCUAUAUAAAAAAACGUCAUUCAUGAAGAGAACAAGUAGACAGUUGUCCCUGUUUAUCCAAAAUGUUCCUUGUUGACAAAAAGGAAAUGAAACCAAUAAAUUUUCAUAAAGGUUAAACAGAAAAAAAGAUAUAAAUUGUAUUUCUGAAAAUAUUUAUUUUGUUUUCACUCUCCACUUUCCUUAUUUUACUCCACCAUGAAAGAUUCUUUCAUGGAUGAUGGACGGCCAAUAGUUAGAGGGGGGUGUGUAAAAAACAGGAAUAAAUUUGGAAUAGGAAAUUAAUUUGAAUGUAUAUAAAUCUAUAAGACUAUAAAUAUGGGAAGUUAGAAGUUGUAGGAGAGAGGAGAGGUGCUCUCGAAUCACCUUGCUGAAUUCUUCCUGGUCAUACUGACCCGAACACUCCAUAAUAUUCCCAGGGUACAUUUCCCUAGUUUUCUGUUCAAUUCUUCCUGUUUGCUUCAUGUAAACUAGUUUAGUGCAACAAUUGGUAUCAGAACCUUCCACCAUAUCUCUCAACUGCAAACGAGGGGCAUGGAUGGUGAUGUUGGAAUAGCAGUGUUCAUCCAAGACUAGUCAGAGGGCCAGUGCACAGCCAGCACAUAUGGGCGCUGGUUCUGCGGAGUGUGGUGGGGUGUUAGGACCUACUGCAGGGUAUGGUACUUAGGUUUCGGAUUGGAAGGAUGGAAUUCAACUGUAACGUUUAUAAGGCCCAGGGAUCUCCAACCGUAAUUAUUAGCUUUUGUAGUGUGAUUCUCCAAGGUUCUUGUCACUGUAUACUAGCCCUUCCGCUGGUCCUGAGCAAACACUACAAGGCUCAUAUCACCUGUACCUUCGUAGUUGAGUGACGUGGAAAAUCUGAGGCUAAGAAAAAGAAUUAAGAUUCCUUGGACUGUAAAUAUCAAACAGUUUGGAAGAAUUCUGCAAAGAGAAUAUUGGAUGAAAAUUUUAAAUUUCUGGUUCUUUGCUCUCUUGUGUUGUGCAAGGUUCUUUGCACUCGUGUAAGAGUCACUACUGGAUGGAGAUCAGGUAACUGAAUUUUGAUAACAGGAUAUUUUUUUAUGUAUUACAGGUUUUUGGCAUAAAUUGAUAGCAUAAACAUUGAUAUAAUAAGCAAUCCAUCAAGAAAGAGGGAUAAUCCACCAAUCAUUCACAGUCAUAAAAUAGCCAACAUCUAAUUAACAGGAAAAAAUAUAUAUAUAAAAGAUUCUCCCAUUCAUUUGCCACAAGAUAUGUACUUGCACUUGAAGAUAACACGUAUAAAAAUAAAGCGGAUAGGAAGUACACCAGCAUAAUUAAAGAACGACGAUAAUCCAUACAUCACCUUACAUCUAUAUAUUUUUACCAUUUAAUUACAAACUAUUCUAUCCUACCCAUUUUUCCGUUCACCCACACUUGUUUCAGUAAUUUCACAUCAAUGUUAGAUAGUCCGCUUGGUGUUGAUGUGCAACAAGUAUCAUUUCUGUAAUUAAAUUAUUCCAGAGAAAAGCAUAUGUGAAUAACUAAGUAGGAGACACUCACAACAUCCGAGAAGGCAACAGAGAAAGAUCCAAGAAGUAUGCAAAAAGCAGCACUGUAUUUGUUGUCAACAAAAGUAGCCAUCAAACUCCAUGAGAGUGCACCAAACAGCCCUGACAAAACCAGGUAUGACCUUCUUCGAUAACCAAAGAGGGGGACCGAAUCACUACACACCACAUUAAUUACUUCAAUAAUGAAAAUGCAGUCCCCGGUAUAGAUAGAAUAAAAUUGAAAAAAUAAUGAAGCGUCCACUUCGGGGAGUGGAAAAAGUGAGUGGGUUUUAGACUCACCUAAUAAACCCGUACAGAGGCUUGACAAGCCACGGUAAAGAAGAUAAACCAGCAACCACAGCUGCCUAGUCAACAUUAUAUGAGUGUAACAUGUCAGUCCUUCAAAUAUGAGUUCAUAAUAGAUUCAAUAAAAAAAAAGGGGGGGGGGGGGGGGAUCGGAAGUUCAAGGAAAUGCUAUCAUCACCCUUUUGGUUUCUAUAUUUGAUUCAAGCAAAGAUGCACAUAGAAUUCACACCUUGAGUUAGAUAAAUGAACAAAUGUUAUAAAAUUAAAAUGAAAUUAAUCAAAAAGAUGUGCACGAACAGCAUAUUAAACCCCGAGUUCAGAAGACACACCUCAGCAGGGUCCAAAUGCAAAUCAUCUUUUAAGUAAAAGUUGACAGCCAGUCUUGCAAGACCUAAAACACCUUGAACAAAAUACACCAUCGCAACAGCAACAUUGUCAGGGGAUAACUCUACCCCAAACAAUUUGAUGCUGGUCAUGCGAUAUUUGUGCUUUCUAGGAGCCACUUUACUAGAGGAAGAAGCCUCUAGAUCGAUCUCAGUUGUUAAAGCGUCAUCUUUUCCAGCAUCUGCCAAAAAAAUCAAAAUCCAACAUUGAUGCCAUUUUACCAUACUUGAAAAUGAAUUCAAGCUUAGUAUAAAAUACUUCAUCACUCAGCAUAAGCAUGAUGAAUUGCAUUAAGGAUAAAAUUUACAAAAGCACAUAGAAACUUUAUAGACCAAAAAAGAAAAUUAAAAGUUGCAUGUGUCGUGGAUGAGGAAUUUCAAUUUUGAAGCUUACUUAUACGAGAAACCAAAAAAGGGUCGCUAUCCUCGCUACUGAGUCGGAGAGAGGAGCCAGACCUCGAAGCAGUGCCGGACAUUUCCAUUUCCGGCUGAUUCCGACGCGUUCUCCGGCGGAAUGGCGGAGUACGAGAGAUAAUUGGCGUGCGGCGUGUGAGAGAAGGAUGAAAGUUGGAAAAUUUGGAGGGUAGAAAUGGUAAUAAAGACAAAAUAUAAACGCAAGUCAUUUUAUUUUAUGGAAAUAUUUAUUGGUGUAAUUAAAUUAAUUAGGGAGUUCAAAUUUGAAGCAUGUUAUUGAUGCUAUCGUCCUGCAUAGCAGCUAUGGUGAGUGAGUGUGGUGCGUGGGAGGUGUGCAUGAAUAAGACAUGGAUGAUGUUGUGGUGUGCCAAGACGGAGUUCGGAUAGGGCCUUUAACAGUGUAGUCCAAAGCCCGUAAAAGUUGUGUUGGGCCUUUAUAAUGGGUUUCAUUAUUUUUUUUUUAAUUUUCUAUCGUUUUAUACGUAACAAAAAUGUGCUAAAGCUGUAUAUACGAAGAAUGGCAUACAAUAGAAACAUAUUUACCACAUAACUCAUUUAGUCUAUAGAAUUUAACAUACAUUUUAGGUCUAAAAAAACAAAAAACGCAUCAAUUUUUUAGAGAAUUAUUUUAGUAACUCCAAUUUUUUAUAUUUAAACUUAAACGUAAAAUUAACAUUAUUCUCAAACUUUACUAUGUUUCUAUCCAAACUUAAAAUAAUUUUAAACUGUUAAGUCUUGUUAAAUCAUAUUUUAAGCUAUCAAAAUAACAUAAAAAAUUCAAACAUUAUUUUGAAAUAAAUUUAAUAAUUAUAUUUAUUUAUUUUAAAAAUUUAAACUAUAUUAAAAUUUGAAAAAAAAAUAUUAAUUUUAUUUUAAAAUUUAGAUAUUAAGAAUAUAUUUAACCCUUAAAAAAAUAUUAAGUUAAGGGUAAAGAAAUAAUAAAAGUUUACUGGGAGCAGAAAUAUGUGUCUUACCAAAUGAAGCUUGGAGUAUGGCCGAAAAAGGAAAUUGCAAGUUUCCAAAAAAAAGAAAAAGAAAUAUUGACAGAGACGUGGAAAAGUAAAUAAAGAAAGAAAUAAGGGUAACUAGGCUAUGAGUUUACUCAUUAGUUUUACUACCAUCUUUGUUUUGCCACAAAUGUUGUGCUUAAUAUAACGCCACAGAAUCAUUCUUCUGACCAAGUCAGAAAACUGUUCCCUCUUAAACCUUACGGCAUGUGCUCCACUCCACCAUCGGAUUAUCUAAAUGGUCAGUACAACGGCUCCGAUCAUCACGUACUGUAAAUAUGCUAAAAGCACAAACAAUCAAAGCAUAUGAAAAGAGAAGGGGAAUCUACUACAGAUGAUGUCACUGGUCCUAUGAGCGUCAUUAUAGUAUUAUCAUUAUCACUUUCGAAUACUAUAUAUAUAUAUAUAUAUAUAUAUAUUAUAUAACAAUAAUAAACAAAGAUAAUAUGGAAGAUCAAGUCAUACACAUGUAUCAUUACAAAACUGUGGCCAACCCAACAGCAAUCCCCUAAUUCAUUCAUCAUUUCAAUAAAAUCACCUCUACAGUACUAUCUCUGCCUGCAAUUCCCCUUUCCAUCUUCUACAUUGCUAAUCUCAGAGAGGGUCACACUCAUAAGCAGAAAUAGAAAAACCAGGUACAGUGAUCCUGAUUUCCAAGGACCAUUUUUUGUCCUAGAAAAAUAAAUAUGAAGGUAUUAUUCUGAGCCCUUUCAAGCAAAACAUCGAAUGGCUUUGGGCGUUGGAGGCUAAAGGAAUCAAACUAUGGCCCGUAAAUAUCACUGCCUUCUAAUUUAUUCAUCUCUUCCUCCAAGAGCAUCCCUUGGUACCGGCAUUCGUUGCUGCAAAAUGCUCUCUCACCCCUGCAUUACAACAUCACCAGCUUCAUUCAAGAUCUUCUGCUCUAAUACAAAUUAGUAGAUCAUACUUUCAUUUCACUCUUAUCCAUAACCACUUUUUUUUUUCUGAUCCUAAAGUAAUUCACAAUUCACAUCGCCGAUUAAAAUGAAGAAUCGCAUCAUAUUAUACUUUAUAUUGCAACAAAACAAGUAAUUCACAAUUUUCUCAGUCUUUGUUGUUUUAAGAGAACGGAUGGAAAAAAAAAGUUAUUAACCAUUGAGACUUAAGACAAGAGCUCAAAGAUACGAAGAGGACAAAAAGAAAUUAGGCAGAUAUAGGCGAGCCCCAUCCAUUAUGACAUCAAUUUAAUUUCCCGCAGAAAUAUAUUCAAGAUGUAGUACCGUUUGAUGAUCAGAUAUUAAAGUAACUUUGCAGUACACAAAUGAGAAAUAUCAGCUUUUUUCCUUUCUUUAAAUAUAGACCACUUGAAUCCUUUGUCAGCUAUUCCUGUUAGAGCCUAGUGCCAGAUAAGUUCUGACAAAUAUGCUCGCAGUAAAACUCUUUCAUUUUUUUUAAUCUUGAUCAAGCCAAAUAAAACUAAAUAAACAGAAAUAAUACUACAAGAAAAGACUUUGUUUUUCCUAGUAAUUUUUCCCAGAGUUUUCAUAGUUCCCCAUAUGUUAUAUGACGCAAACAGAAUUAUUUCAGUCGAGGUUUCAUCUACUCUAUAAGAAUGAGUAAAAUUUGCUGUCAAUUCACAUCUCAAAUCGAAAAAGCCAAUUAAAUUCCUAUUUCAAGAACAAAGAACUGGACAAGUAUUUCUUUGGGGGAUAAAGAAUAAGAAAUUACCUGUACAUGUAGAUGUCUUUACCCUCUCCAAGGUUUCUUUUGCAGUGAAAGCAUACACUCAAAAAGCUUCGAGAGUGAUAAUUUGUGUGAUGAGGAAAACACCCAUUUUCCUUAACAGAGCAUCCAAGUUCGAAGCAGCUACUCUCGAUGAUGCAAUUAUCAAAUAUGUGAGUGGUUCUCGGGUUUGGCCCGUGGGAAAUCACACGAGUGUAAUCCUCAGAGAGUUCCAUUUCACUUGCAGAGAGACAUCCCAUAAAAAUCCGCUGGGAAUUAGCACCUCCGGAUGCAGAUUUUCCCAUACAUAGACUCCCAGGGGAAAAAUUUCCCUUCUCGGCUACGAAUUUGGAUGAUUCAGUUGCAGACAGGGGAGGAAUCUGAAUCUUAAGCUGAGAUCCAAAUACAACCAUUCGACUCUCAUGUUUCGAACUCACUUCACCGUGUUUCUCUUCGUCGACAAGAGCGUCCACUAGGCCAAGACCAACACCUUUAGAAUCCAAUCUGUCCCAGUGACGCUUGUGUUCACUCCCUGGAGUUCUGGGACUGUUUGUUUCAGACCAAAAAGGGUUCUUGAAACCGGAGAAAGGCUUGCUGUCGAGUAUGGAGGUAGGGCUCAUCAUGGUUUCCGUUUCAUGGAAACCUUUGGGAGUGAAAUUGGUGAACAACCUCGGAGAACUGAAGAAAGAAGACGAAACGGAUCUCUUGUACUUUUCUGAGGAACCAGAAUCUGCCAUUAGACCCCUGUUUUUCUCUCACUAACUCAUUCACUCAGUCACCAAUCACCUUAGCUUGCUUUUAUGUUUCCUGAAACCAAGACACAGAAUAUGCCACAAGUUUAGAACCUUGUUAAGUUGUUUAAGGAGUGCUCAUAUCAUAACAGUGCUUGUGUUUGUGUGUACAGGAAUCACCUGAAAGGACAAGGUUGGCCAACUAAACACGGCCAUAAGUUCGAAGAGGCAACACCAACACCGACUUUAAACCGAGGCUAUAAAUUCUGUGAAGGAUUAAAAAAAAAGGGGAAAACUGCAAAUUGCAAACAAGUUUCCAUGAGUAGAAACCUCUUCCUGUGUGACCCCCCAAUCCAAAACCAAAGAGAAACUUAGAGAAACAUAAGGAAAAUAGGAGUUGCUUUAUUUCGUUCAAGAAAAAGAGAAAAGAAGGAAAGAAAGAAAGAAAAAUGACUUUUUCCCCGGCUUUCUCGCCCUCGAUUCUCCUGUUUCUGAGAAUAGAAUCACGAUGGGGCUCAAAAACGACAUGCGAAGAGACCCUCAGUGGUCAUGAUCAAAGGACCAGACGUGCAUGCAUCAGACAGCAGAACAAAGAAGAGUUUGUUUUUUGUUCCUUCUUUUGGCUACCUUUAUUUCUCCCUUUCAAUUUCUCUGCAUUUAUGUCUCUCACUUCUGUUUCACCUCAAAUUAUUAGUGCCUUACGAGUAAAAGGCCAAACACCCCUAAGGUAAAACCCACUCAACUGGUCCCAAAAAUCCCAUUUCACCACCAAAAUGUAAAAGAUAAAAACUUAAAAGCUACGGUUGUGAUGAUGAUAAUUCAUACGUAAUCCAUAAAGCCCCUCUCUUUUUCUCUCCUCGCCCUUUUAUGCCUAGUGGGGUUAUCUUUUUUCACUGUGCUCUUUCUCCCUCUUUAUUUCCCACUAGUUCAAGUGUCCAUCAUGAGCCCUGAAAAAUUGGCAUGGAGUUGCAGAGCGAGCAGUACUGAGAAAGAGAGAAGCAUAGGACACAAGACAAGGGAAAAUUCAGAAUUCAGAAAUCAGAAGCAGUGUGUGGUGGUAGUAGUAGUGCGAAUGUAUAGCUUGUUCGUGUCUUCUUAUAUCUUCUUAUAAAGACGCGUGUGUUUGAGAAUGAGUGUUUUUUUUUUUUUUUUUUUUAUUUUACUUUACUUUGUAGUGUGCGUUGGUUUCAGGAGAAAAAGAGCCGUGGUUUUAACAAAACCUAAAACCACCACACUGCACUCUUUUCUCUCAGAGCAAUGGCAGUAACAAGGUCUGAGUUUGAUGUGUCUGUGAGAGCACAAAGGUGAGAUGAUGUUUUGUGGGUGAAAUUUAAGAUAGGCGAUCUCAAUCUUUCACUCUCAACUCACUCAGCAUCAGUGGAUCAAAGGCAAAAUAUAAAGUAUAAUAACAUAACAUGCUCACAUCAUAAUACAACCACUCACGAGACUUCAAUUACAAGAUGUCUCCAUACCUAUAUCAAGUCUUUAGUCUAAAUUAAAUACAUAACAAUAAAUAAAUUGAUGCUAAUUUUUUUUUGUAAGUGCACUUAAUUUUAAGGUUAGAAAAAUAAUUACCAAUGAGACUGGUUCUGAUGUAAAUUUGCCAUUUAUUCUCAAGACGAGAGUGGACAAAACAUAAUGGAGAUUCGUACGUCGAUGUUGAAUUUCAUUGCAGUUAUACGAAAUUGCAAAACUGAAAAUAUUAUUGUUUAGAACUGUUUAUAAAUCAGAUUUUACAGUAUUAUCAUUUAGAGGACUGCUAGUAUACCAUUUUUAAAACAAAUAUUUAGGUAGUGGAUAAAAUAAAAGUUGAAAUUUCAGUUAAUGGUAGAAUUAAGAAAUGUGAUCCAAAGAAUGUGUUUGAGAAAAAAAUAAUUGGUGAAAAUAAGUUAUAUUAUCUUAUCAAUCAGGGUUUAUUUACACCACAGUUUUUAAAAUAAAUUUUUAUAAUUUAUUUAUAAAAAAUAUUAAGUUUUUAUAACUCCCUAAUAUUUUUUUUAUCAUUAACUACCUUUAUUAAUAAGUCGUAUUAAUAAAUAGAUAAUUGUAAGUUUUUUUAAGAAAUACUUUUAUUCAUUUAAAAAUAUUUUAUUAAUUUAUGAUUUUUUGAAAUUAGCUUACUUUAGUAUAUUUAUUUUCAACAUUAGUUUGUGAAUAUUUUUUUUUAAUUUAAUUAAGAAUUAAUAAAUUACUUUUAAAAGUAAUUAUACAAAAAUGUUCAGUAGUUAUUAGCUCUUAAGCAAUCAAAAUAAGGGAAAAAAACAACUGAAUUUUCUUAAAUUGUGGAAAUUAAAGCACUAAAGUUUAUUUAUUCAUGUUUUUCUAAAGUAUAUGUCUAAGUAAUUUCACUGAGUACUUUAACUAAAUAUUGAGGUUUAAAACAUUCUCUUAUGUAAUAUUUGUUUUUCCGUCUAUUUUUUUUUUUACAAUUUCUUAAUUUUGACUUUUCAUUCACAAUUAAAAUUAAAAUUAAAAAACUAAAAAUUAAAAAAAAAACUAUAAUUUAUUGAUUUUUUGUUAGAAUCUAAUUUUAUUUUUAAAUAAGUGAUCAAAAAUAAAUGUUUUUGGUUUGUAUUUUUAUGGGAAAACAAAAAGGUUUAACUGUUUUAAUUAUUUUUAAAUCUGUAUAAGAUGUAACUUUUUUAUUCUAAAAAAAAUGAAACAUUAUUACAUGUUAUUUUUAUUGAGAUGCAUUGUAUGAAUUUUCUAAUCCCCAAUUUUAACAUACAUUUAAGGCUAGUUGCUUUUAUCUGUAAAAAAAAAAAGUGAGAAACUAGCCAAGUUCAUUGCUAAGUUUAAUUUUAUCAGUUAAAUUUAACUUUUAUAAGAAUAAUUUAAGACCAAAAGUCAAUAAUAUUUAACAUACCAUGUUAUUCACAUUCUAUAUUAUUAAUAUUAUUAUAAGAAGAUUGGCAAUGGCU
rnacentral:lncRNA from 1 species